AUUUAGUUCACACAGCUUGGGCUAUGAUGGGUUUGAUUCAUGCAGGGCAGGCGGAAAGAGACCCCACACCUCUCCAUCGUGCAGCAAAGUUGAUAAUCAAUUCUCAGAUGGAAAAUGGUGAUUUUCCUCAGCAGGUAUCUUGCUUACCACAUUAGUUCCAACCAACAACAACAACAACAACAAAGCCUUUUCCCACUAAGUGGGUUCCAACCAAAAGAAAAAUAAAAAAAAAACAAAUUCUCUUAGUAUUACUUGCAUCGCAAACUUGACGAGUACAAAUACGAACAAAAUAACAUAUCGUGUUGUGUUGUUUCUACGUAUGCUCAAAUUUUUACUUCAAACGUUUUAUAAAUUCUAAUCACUAAUUAUAUAUGGCAGGAAAUCACUGGAGCGUUCAUGAAGAACUGCAUGCUACAUUAUGCAAAUUAUAGAAAUAUUUAUCCCCUGUGGGCUCUUGCAGAAUACCGAAGGCGGGUUCCAUUUGUUGAUGUCUAAGCUUUGCAGCCAAGUUUAUGAAGAAAAUAAUGUUUUGAUUCAUUUGAAAAGCUUUGCAUUUCAGUUUAAGUGUUUGUAAAUGGAUGGUCAUGAUUAUAACAAGCUCAUAAGCGUAAUGGGUGCCAUCUGUUAUAUUGGAUGAGAUACUCCAGUGAUCCAUGUGCAUUACGCAUGAUCCGUUCUGUUUGUUCGGUAGUGGAGGUCCAACGGCUAUACGCCUAUGCCCUCUCACACCUUACAUACUUGUAAUGCUUCAUCGAGAAGUAAGGAAUUUGUGUAACAGCACCAUCAUCUUCUACCUCUCCCCUUCUGCAUUGUUCUCUGCACCUUUCUUCAUUUCAAUUUCUUGCUGAAUGUUAUUGCAAUAAAACCAUCAUAAACCACCUAAAUUACAGAAUCUAACAUGGCUUUAGAGCCUAAGUUCGAUUAAACUUUCAUCUGGGAGUGAAUUGUGCUUGCAGAAUCAAGCUCACAACCAGCUUCUUCUCUGCAAUACUGAGCUUUGUAAACACUGAAAUCUGUCAGAUCCGAGUCUAAUAUGGCUGGAUCAACUAGUUCUAAACUUAGUACACUAUUUUUCAAUGGCAGAAACUACGAAUUCUGGAGAAUCAGAAUGAAAACCAUUCUCAAGUCUCAUGGACUUUGGGAUCUCAUUGAGAAAGGGUUUGAAGUCCCUGAAUCGAAUAAGGAGUUGGCUGAAAGAGCCACUGAUGCAAAGAAGGAGAAAGAGUACUCAAGCACUCUUGCUCAGGAGCAGAUGAAGGAUGCCAAAGCCCUUGGAUUGAUCCAAGGGGAGCUGUCUCUGAUCAAAUUCCAUUAUGAAACCAUGGAAGAAAGUGGAGAGCUCUUAAUAGCUGUUUUCAUAGGACGACUUCUGUCCGGUUUUAACUAGCUAGCAAGCUUCACAUGGUGUGGGAGACUGAAUCACGUAUGUCAUCUUUGCCAAUAGAUGACCAUUUGAUGCACGAAGUAUGCGACACAUCAUACCCCUUGUGGGUGUCCACCAAAGUUGGAAAGUGCUCGAGUCAAUUGGCUUUGGUCGAAUGAAUAGGUUUGACUCGAUCGUUCUGAUAGUCGUCUUAUAGCGAUAGGGCGAGAGUGCUCUCAAUUUCUUCUGGUAAGUUUUCCUGUUAGUUUUGUUCAUGGAAGAAAAAAAUAUCGCCGAUAUUAUCGUUUUUUUGAAGAUCCGAUAUUUUUUUAACUAUCCAAAUGAUUUUCGUCAAAAUAUCGAGAUAUUAUCGAUAAUAUCGAUAAUAUCGCGAUAUUUUCGAAAUUAUCGAUAAUAUCGCCACAUAAUACUAAAAAAUACUUAAAUAUGUUGAGAAAACUCAACACAUACUUCACUUGAUCAUAACCCAAAGGGCGAUCAAGAUAUGGCUUACUACGCAGGGCAAUGUGGCUUUUAUAGGACAAAUUGCGAGGGCAGUGAGCAAGCAUGGGCGAUGUGGGACUCUCCCAAUAGGAGAAAAUCAGAAUUUCGGCCGAAAAUUUACACCCACUUUAAACGGCCAUAACUUUGUCAAACCUCAACGAAAUCAAGCAAGACAAAAACGAAAGUUGUAGCCCUCGAAGAGACGAAGAGAAUGGUACCUCACACGACAUCUGAAUCAUCGUUUUUUGCCGGAAAAUGCCUCGAUAGUCACUGAGAUCGCCGGAAACUGAGUAAGAUUCAAAUGAGUGUAACUUUUUUAAUACUCAACGAAAUUGAGUGAAACAAAAAAGAAAGUUGUACUACUCGAUGAGAAGAAGAGAUUGAUGCCUUGCACGCCGGCCAACUCGCCGUGGUUUGGCCGGAAAUUUCCUCGAAAGCCACUGAGGUCGCCGGAAAUUGGGUAAGAUUCAAAUGAGUAUAACUUUUUAAAUACGCAACGAAAUUGAGUGAAACAAAAAGGAAAGUUGUAGCCCUCGAAGAGACGAAGAGAAUGGUACCUCACACGACAUCCGACUCGUUGUGGUUUGGCCGGAACUUGCCUCGAAAGCCACUGAGGUCGCCGGAAACUGGGUAAGAUUCAAAUGAGUAUAACUUUUUCAAUACUCAACGAAAUUGAGUGAAACAAAAAGGAAAGUUGUACUACUCGACAAGACGAAGAGAUUGAUACCUUGCACGCCGGCCAAAAUUCAAUUGACACACUCCUGGCUUCCAAAAUUCAAUUCUUUUACUUUAUAUAAACUUGAAAAAACAUAAUCGGCAUCCAAAUUAAAGUUUAGUCUUAUUCUUAUGUGUAAGAAAUUUAAAGUGUCAAAUUCGGCACAUUAUUCUUCAUCAUUUUAUUCACUUCCCUUUUUUUUUUAAUAUCCUAAAUAAAACCUCCAAAUAUUGUACUAAUUAAUUAUAUAUAAAUGAUUAUAGUGUGUUUAAACUUCUUUCAUUAAUUACUACAUAUUUUCUACACUCACAAUGUUUGCCAGCUCGCUAUAUAAUCAACUUAAAUCAGUUAAAUCCAUCAUGCAAUGCAUUUCCUUCCAAUUUUUUGUGAUAAACUAAUAGAUAAUUGACUAAAUAAACAUCCUACAAAGUUUCAUUAAAAAUUUCCAAGUUUUUCUUACAAUUUCCGUGGUUUCCAUGUAAUUUUUAUCGAUAUCGAUAUUAUCCCGAUAUUUCCAUCGAUAUUUCCGUGUUUUCGGACUACCGAUAUUUCCGAUAUUUUCUUCCUUGGUUUUGUUCGACUUGGUAAACAAAUAUAAUCAACCAAAUAGAAAUAGAUUAUUAAAAUCUUUCAAGUUGUUUGAAUAUUGCUACUUAAUAUUAUGGUCUAAUAGUAUUUAUUAAUAUUUCUUUUUACUUAUAAGUAGAGGUGUUAGAUUUCAAUCUCUUGAUAAUUACCCCAACACCAAUUUAUUAAUUCCUGUAAAAUUGGUUGAAUUAUAUUGUUUUUUUUUUCCUUAAGUGAAACGGUGGGGACACUGUUUUGGGGAGUGAUUUCAGCGUUAGUUAACGCGCUUAUUUUCUAUUAGUGACACAUCAUUUUGUUUGCAAAUUUGGUUUAAAAUUUUGGUUUUCCUAACAUUACCCAUAUGGAUAAUGCUAGGGAGGCUAAUUUUUUUAAACCAAAUUUGCAAACCAAAUGAUAUGGUUGUUGGAUCAUUACUUUAUCGUUGAUUAGUGUAUUUAUUUCCUAUUAGUGACACAUAUUGGUUUGCAAAUUUGGUUUAAAAUUUUAGUUUCCCUAGCACUACCCAUAUGGAUAAUACUAGGUAGACCAAAUUUUUUAAACCACAUUUGCAAACCAAAUUAUAUGGUUAUUGAUGUUUGGAUCAUUACUUCAAUGUUGAUUAACGUGCUUAUUUUCUAUUAGUGACACAUCAUUUGGUUUAAAAAUUUUGGUUUCCCUAGCAUUAUCCAAUUGGAUAAUGCUAGGAAGACCAAAUUUUUAAACCAAAUAAUAUGGUUGUUGAUGAUUAGAUCAUUACUUCAGCAUUGAUUAAAGUGCUUAUUUCUUAUUAGUAACACAUCAUUUAGUUUGCAGAUUUAAUUUAAAAUUUUGGUUUUCUUAGUAUUACCCUUUCAAUAUCCCAAAUAGAUAUAACUUGGUAGUUAAAUCCAAAGUCAACUCCCUGAAGCCAAACUCAUUUAAUUUAUUUUAUUGCAAUCAAAGUAAACUUAUUUUCUACACAUUAACUUCUUAGUAAUAAAAGAAACCCCACGAGCUUCUACAUCUAUUAUUUUAGCAUUUACACCAUGAAUUAACUCAUUGACUGAUUUGGGUGGUAACAUAAGCCGUAUUAUUUGGUAGUAAAACUACAGUUUUUUCAAGAUAUAAAACAGUAUUGUCCAAUGUACUAAUCAUAACAGCUGAUGGAAAAACCGAAAAUGGGAACUUUUUGUGGCAAUGGACAUGACGAAUGUAUCUAUUUUUAUCUUUGGCACCUUUCUGUAUAGCAAUUGGGUAAACUAAAGAUGAGGAAUAGGCUUAUAAUAGCCUUGGAUAUUAACUUGUAAACCUAACUGGACCGACCUUGAAUUCCAACUCACAUAUUCACUCGAGUUUCUCCUUAACUAUAAGAUGAGAAAUAACUAGAUCUGACAUUCGUGUCGUGUUUUCUGUGUUCAUAUUGCUUUCGUGUCAUACUCGAUAUUUUAACAGGUCGUAUCGUGUAAGACCCGUUAAAAUAAAUGGAUAUAUGACCCGACCAGAAAUUGACUAGUUAAUAUUAAUAGGUAAUAUGACUUGGCCCGUUACCUGUUAAAGAAAAUAUAUUUUAAGCCAAUAAAUAAUCAAAUGAAAAAUAUUAUACUAAAUAGUAUACACAUACCACAUUGUCACAUAAAUAUUACUUCAACAUAAAAACACAUUUGUCUUUCAAGUAUCACAUAAAAACAGAAAAAUAGUGAAAUAAAUUAUAUAAACGCUCGUACUAAUUAACAAGCUUUACAACUUUCGUGAAUGGCUCAAAUUUGAAAUUUGCCACUAUAAUCACAUAAACUAUAGAUUGAAAUUUGCAAGAAGCUUAUUUGCUUAACUAAAUCCAUUGGCCAAUAAAGAAUCAUGCUUACAGAUUCAUUAAAGUUUGUUGGUACCAUAUACUGGGCCUCGUCUUUGGGUCUCAUCCCUAAGCUCAUGACAAAUGUAAAAGGGGAGGGAGCCCUUAUUCUAUAAAAGGGACUCUCCCUCACCCUCAUAAAGGAGGACUCACCUUCACUAAGAGUUCCAGAGAGUCUCAGAGCCAUACCUUCAGAGGAAACGGUUUCACACUCAAUCCUCACAACAAUAGAGGGCAGUACCCUCUCAGCCAAACAGAGAGUAAAAUGGCAAGGGCUGUAUCCACAGAGAGCUCCCUUGCCGAUCUAUUGUAAUCCAUACAUACAUACACAAUCAGCAUCAAUGUGGACGUAGCCCAAACAUUAGGGUGAACCACGAUACAUCUUUGUGUUCUUGUGCGUUUGUGUGAUUCACUGUCGGAUUUACGUUGGUCCAAGAUCCUCAGGAUUUUGUGCAUUAACAUUUGGUGUCAUCUGUGGGAAUCGACACGAAAAACUAUAUCGGUUCUCUUUCAUUUUUUCAUCUCACCACCGUGAAUCUGCACAACCCAGAAACCUAAAACCUCAAUCUUGGGGCUUUUCCAGAAAACCUUCGCAGACCUUAAACCAUCAUCUCUUCCUCUCUCUCGAUCUCUUAGAAAACAACCAAUUCGUUUUCUUCUUCCUCUCUCAAUCUUCAGCAUCAAUCAAACAUGUCUGCUUACAGAGGCAAAUACGCUGAUGAGCUUAUCGCCAAUGCUGCCUACAUCGGGACCCCUGGAAAGGGUAUUCUUGCUGCUGAUGAGUCAAAUGGCAUAAUCGGCAAACGUUUUGCUAGCAUCAAUGUUGAGAAUGUUCAAUCAAAUAGACGUGCUCUUCGCGAACUCCUUUUCACUGCCCCUGAUGUGCUCCAAUACCUUAAUGGAGUUAUCCUCUUUGAGGAAACCCUCUACCAGAAGACCACUUCAGGCAAGCCAUUCGUUGAUGUCUUGAAGGAAAGAGGUGUUCUCCCUAGAAUUAAGGUCGACCAGGGUACCGUUGAGCUCGCCGGAACCAAUGGUGAGACCAUAACCCAGGGUCUUGAUGGCCUUGCCCAGUGUUGCCAGAAGUACUAUGAAGUUGGUGCACGGUUCGUAAAGUGGCGUGCUGUGCUUAAGAUUAGCCCUAUUGAACCAUCUCAGCUGUCCAUCCAAGAGAAUGCCAACGGGUUAGCUCAUUAUGCCAUCAUCUGCCAGGAGAAUGGCCUAGUCCCCAUUGUUGAGCCAGAGAUCCUGGUUAAUGGACCACAUUCCAUCAAUAAGUGUGCAGAUAUGACCGAAUGUGUUCUUAUCGCAUGCUAUAAGGCAUUUAGCGACCACUAUGUCCUGCUUGAAGGGACUCUCUUGAAACCCAACAUGGUUACCCUAAGAUUUGAUGCCAAGAAGGCUUCACCAGAAGUGAUUGCUGAGUACACAGUUCGUGCCUUGUUGCGCACUACCUAUGUAGCUGUCUCUGCUGUUGUGUUCUUAUCCGGUGGACAGAGUAAGGAUGAGGCUACCCUCAACCUUAACGCAAUGAACCAACUCAAAGGAAAUAAGCCGUGGUUUCUAUCCUUCUCCUUUAGACGUGCUCUUCAGCAUAGCACACUGAAGGCAUGGGCAGGGAAAGAGGAAAACAUCCCAAAGGCACAUGUUGCUCUCCUCACAAGGGCCAAGGCCAACUCAGAAGCUACUUUUGGAAUCUACAAGGGUGAUGCCAAACUCGGUGAGGGACAAGGAUGGGGAGGAGCUGGAAAAGAAGGAUCUCUGGGAAGGUACGUUUCGGAUUUCGGAUUUGCAUGAAGUCUCUGGUCACAGUUCCACUGCUAGAACAAUGAUGGACAAACAGAGAAGAUAAGAAUUUUAUUUUCACAACCUGCAACCGUCAGAAGAUGCCCAUCAACAUUUUGAAAAAGAUAAAACUUUCAUCAUGAAGGGGAGUGCAUGUCCCCCCCUCCAUUUUCUGAAAAAGCCACGGGAACAGUAAGAUAAGAUUCUUUUUUCUUUAUUAUUUUAUUCAUUUAUCAUUAUUUUGAUAAGAUCAUUUUGCUUUACAUAUGUGUGUAAAUUCUUUAACAGGAGAUCACAUCAUGCAUUUGCUUUACAGCUUUUGCUUUACAAUUAGCAAUAUGUUAUCUGUUUUUAUGAUUUGUGUAUAUAUAGUGCAUCCCCAUUGUCAUUAUAUUAAAGCUACAUGACUACUGCUGUGUACACUGCACGAGGAAGAUAAGAUCAUCUUUAUAUUCCUUUACAACCCAUUAGUUAAAUUAUUAUAUGUGACCAAAUUGGAUAUCAACAUACACACACACACACACACACACACACACACACACACACACACACACACACACACACACACACACACACACACACACACACAUAUAUAUAUUAUUCAUUGCCUAGUGACAUAUAUACAAUAUUUAUUCAUGGCCUAGAGUAUUGUGAAUGCCAUUAAACCAUGUCACUUAUACAACAUGUGAUUUACCCCACGACUGAAUAAAUUAUUUAUUUAUAGAAGGCACAUAGUACAAUAUUUUGCCUUGGCAAACUUUGUCAAUUUGAUUUAUUCAUUAUACGAUCAUACUUAUACUGUCAUUUAUUGUCAGGAAUUAUUGAGCAACUAGGUCCACUGAUCAACAUUGUUGCUGAUUAAAAGAACCCAAUAUGCGAACCCGACAAGCGGACCUGAGUCAUGUUAAGAAUUAACUUAUAUUGAGUGCAUGUCAAUUAAAGUAGAUACUUGCAAUGAGCAAUACCACGAGCCGACCUACCUCGCAGCGAGCAUAGCUUCUAGCCGAACAGCCUCAUAACGAGCAUCGCCUCCAGCCGAGCAACCACCUCGCCGCGAGCAUAGCCUCUAGCCGAGAAGCCUCGCAAUGAGUAUCGCCUCCAGCAGAGCAGUCUCAUAACGUGUGAUACCUCUAGCUGAGUGUUGCUUUAUGUUGAGCAUUGCCUUGUGUUGAGUACUGGUUCAAGAUAUCUAGCCACUUCGGCCCGUACAUGGAUUGGAUUUGAAGUCUCCAGCCAAAAGACUCUCUUGACUUAAGACUUGGGGGACUCAUGUUGGUACCAUAAAUUAGGCCUCGUCUUUGGGCCUCAUCCUUAAGCCCAUGACAAAUGUAAAAGGGGAUGGAGCUCUUAUUUUAUAAAAGGGACUCUCCCUCACCCUCAUGAAGGAGGACUCACCUUCACUAAGAGAUCCAGAAAGUUUCAGAGCCUCACCUUAAGAGGAAAUGGUCUCACACUCAAUCCUCACAACAAUAGAGGGCAGUACCCUCUCAGCCAAACAGAGAGUAAAAUGGCAAGGGUUGCAUCCACAGAGAGCUCCCUUGCCGAUGUAUUGUAAUCCAUACAUACAUACAUAAUCAAUAUCAGUGUGGACGUAGCCCAAACAUUAGGGUGAACCAUGAUACAUCUUUAUGUUCUUGUGCGUUUGUGUGAUUCACGGUCGGAUUUACGUUGGUCCAAGAUCCUCCGGAUUUUGUGCAUCAACAAAGUUCUUUCUUGAAUUAACUAAUUGACCUAGUGGGAAAAUGUUGGACGUUAGACUCUAAUCCAGCGGCUAAUAGGUCAAUAUAGUUAAUAAGGAUUGAUGUGGAAUGUAAAUGUGAUUAGGGUUUAGUCAUAAGCUAUAACUUGGACUCCAAGUAAAGGUAUAUAACCAGGUUAUAAUUGGAGAAUAAGGGCUCUUGAUACUAUCUAUUUGGAUUGAGAUUUGGUAUAUUAUAUCCUUGUACAAUAAGGAAUCCCAUCAUAUGAUUAUGGGAAUGUAUGCUAGGGUUGAAGUAGUAUAAAUACCAAGGGAUGGUCCCUGCAUACACCACCUAUACACAUAUUUGCAGAACUCCCUAUAGGUUCAAGUAAUACAGUGGUGGUGAGUGUGCAAAAGACCAACCUUCAAAGUCUAGGGUGUUUGAGGAAAGCUUGUUGCAAUUGCAGUUCUUGCCGUGCUAGGAAGAUGACUUCUCAAGGUUAGUUCUAUGGUGUUUUAAUGGUACAUAAACAUAUCAUGUUUAACACAGGUUGGUACUGCUAACUUUAAACCAGCUCACCUUCUUGGGUAGGGCACCAUUGGAUGUGUCUAUAAGGCUAAAUAUAGUGAUGGGAAGGUAAUGUUUUACUAUCACUAUAUCAUUGUUAUUUCUCUAGCUAACCUUUAUAAGUUCGUGUUAUAAAUUUUUGUUUCUAAAAAUUUUAUUCCAUAUAUGCGUGUUAGGUUUUGGCAGUUAAAAAGAUUGGUUCCUCACUUUUUCAAGGCUCACCGCUGCAAGAAUUUUCAAACAUUGUCGUAAACAUCUCCAAGAUUAAAGAAACAGAAGCUCUAUCUCUUUCUUUCUUUCUUUCUCUCUCUCUCUCUCUCUCUCUCUCUCUCUCUCUCUCUCUCUCUCUCUCUCUCUCUUUUUGUAACAAACAAAUUUUCAUUACUUGAAUAAUUACAACAAUACAAGAGGAUAUAUAUAGCCAGAGACUUGCUGCACUAAUGCCCUUAGCUCUUACAACUAAUUACAUAAUUACCACAACUAAUUGUUUACAGUUACAACUAACUAGUGACUUGUUUGGCUAGCUUAACAUCUAUGUUAAUACACCCCCUAAAGCUGAGCUUAGGAUUAAACAUUGAACCAAGUGGAAGCUUGGAUUUGAGAUAGCUAAAUUGACUUUUGGACAAAGACUUGGUAUGAAUGUCAGCCAAUUGAUUUUGACUACAAACAAAUUGGACUUUGAUGAGCUUAGCCAAUAAAAAUUCUCGAAUGUAGUGGUAGUUGAUUUCGAUGUGUUUAGUUCUGGCAUGGAACACCGUAUUGGAAGCUAGAGAGAUAGCUGAAAUGUUGUCACACCAGAGAUUAGGAACAUGAGAGAGAGAAAAACCAAUAUCUCAGAAAAUUUUGCAAAUCCAUGUAAGUUAUGCAAUAGUGUAGGCUAGAGAACGGUAUUCAACUUCAGUGGAUGAUCGGACAACUGUGGAUUGUUUCUUGGCACUCUAAUUAAUGAGAUUGGAACCCAGAAAGACACAAUAACCACUAGUGGAACGUCUAUCAAAUGUACAUCCUGCCCAGUCAGCAUCUGAGAAGGUAGUGAGGUUAAUAGGACCCUUUUUGAACCAAAUUCCUUCAGAGACAGUGCCUUUAAGAUAUCAAAGAACUCGUUUUGCAGCCUGCAUAUGUUGUUCUCGAGAAGCAUGCAUGAACUAGCAAAUUUGAUUGACUGCAAAUGAGAGAUCAGGACGUGUCCAUGUUAAAUAAUGCAAGCCACCACCAAUAGACCUAUACUUGGUUGGAUUGGAGAGAAGAUGAUCGGUGUGAUCAAGUUUGGUAGAACUAAGAGGAGUAUAGCAAGGCUUAGCACCAUCCGUAUUGGUUUUCCUAAGAAGAUCCAGUAGGUACUUAGUUUGAUGAAGAAAUAUACCUUCAGAGGACCGGUGAACUUCUAAUCUAAAAAAGUAGUGCAAUGGUCUUAGAUCUUUGAUUGGAAAAAGACUAUUCAACCUUUGAAUGAACAUAUUGCAUAAAGAGGGACUUGGGCCAGUUACCAAGAUGUUAUCAACAUAGACAAGAACAAUGACUGGAGAAGGACCUUUGAGAACAAAUAAUGAGGCAUCUGAAGAGGAUUGCACAAAUCUAAAUCGAAGAAAAGCUGAAAAAGCUUAUCAAACCAAGCUCGGGGUGCCUGUUUAAGACCAUAUAAGGAUUUCCUCAAUUUUGCAUACAUAAUGUGGCUUGCUGAGAUCAAUGAAGCCCGGGAGAGGGGGGUGGGGUUGCUGCAUAUACACAUUUUCCUUUAAAUCGCCAUAAAGAAAUGCAUUACUGAUGUCUAAUUGAUUUAAAAACCAAUUAAAUUGCACUGCAAGUGCGAGAAGGACUCAAAUGGUGACUGGUUUAGCCACGGGACUGAAAGUCUCUUGGAAAUCAAUGCCUUCUUGCUGGUAAUAUCCCUUUACAGCUAGGCAAACUUUAAAUCUUUCAACAGUACCAUUAGGCUGUUUCUUGACUCUAAAAACCCACUUGCAGCUAACAACAUUUUGAGAAGAAGAUGGAAGUACUAAGGUCCAAGUACCCGUGGAUUGCAAGGCAUUAAAUUCAUCUUGCAUAGCAGACCUCCAAUGAGCAUGUUUAGAUGCUCGCAGAUAUGUAGUGGGUACAUCAUCAAUAUCUAAAGGAAGAUGAUGCUUAGCAGCGACAUAAACUUUAGGCUUAUAGAUUCUAGCUUUGGAAUGAGUGACCAUUGGAUGAAUGUUACCCGUAGGCACUAGAGGAGAUGGAUCACUUGAAGAGAGAGGUUAUGUGAGGGAAAUAGGAUCAGAAUUGUGGACAGAACUUGAAGAUUCAUGAUUCUGUGCUUCUCCAAUAUUUGAACUUGAAGAAUGAGACCCUGAAGAUAACCUCGAGAGUGAAAUAGGGAACUGGAGAUCCAUAAAAGGUAAAAUAGAGUAUUGAACCAUAGCUGUUGCCUUUGAAAUAGAUUGAAAAUGAUAUGUAGUUUCAUUAAACUGCACAUGUCUAGAAAUAUAAAUUCUGCCAGUUUAUGGGUCAAGACACCUAUAACCUUUGUGUUGUAAACUAUACCCUAAAAAAAACACAACUUUUGCUUUUGGCAUCCAACUUUGAAUGAACAUAAGGCUUGAGCCAUGGGAAACAAUUGCAGCCAAAUACUUUUAAUUUGUAGUAAUGUGGGGGUUUGAAAAAGCAAUUCCCAAAGAGACCGAGAUAUCCCAAAUAUUGGCAACCGGUUAAUGAGAUACACAGCCGUGGAGAAUGCCUCAACCCAAUAGAUAUGAAGAACAUUAAAAGCAACAAGUAAAGUUCUAGCAGUUUCCACAAGGUGUCUAUGCUUUCUUUUUGCACAACCAUUCUGUUCAGGGGUAUGAGGACAUCUUAAUUAAUGUAAAAUGCCAUGAGAACGAAUAAAUGACUGAAACACAGUACUAAUGAAUUCACCCCCUGAAUCUGAAUGCCAAUUCUGAUUGUAUUUCCAAAUAAGUUCUCUACAUAAUGUUUGAAUACAACAAAAGUAGAAUAGACAUCAGACUUGGCCUUUAAUGGAAACAACAAACUAUAUCUACUAUAGUCAUCAACUAACAACAUAUAGUAUUUAAAACCAUUAGGUGAAGUAACAGAUGUAGGGCCCCAAAGAUCAUAGAGAAACAAUUGAAGGCUGUGAGUAGUAGUGGAGUUUGCAAAUCCAAAUGGAAGCUUAUGGUUUUUAGCAAGAACGCAAUUUGAACAAAAGAAGUCAACAGUGGUCUUGCCUUCGAUAGCAAGGUUAUUGCUGGAGAGAACUUUUCGAAAAAGUGAGGAAGAUGGAUGACCCAAUCUUCGAUGCCAAAUCUUCACAGGAGCUUUGACACUUAUUAAAGCUGAUGGUGAUGAAAGGAUGGUGUGAUUGGAACCUUGCAGUGGAUAAAAUCGAACUAUAACUUGGCCUCGCAAAAACAUCUUCCUGAAGCACGAUCCUUUACAGUGGAUCCAUCAAGGUCAAGAGUCAAAGAGCAAUUAUUGUCUUUAAGAAAUUGAUAAGCAAACAGUAAAUUAUGCUUCAUAUGCGGAACAUACAGUACAUUACUCAACUUAAAAGAAGUAUGAGGAGUAUGUAAAGAAGAGGAACCAAUAUUUUGGAUAGAGAGACCUUUACCAUCUUCUAUGUAGACCUUGUCUUCACCUGUGUAGGGAGAGGAGACAUAGAGAUUGGCAAUGUCAUUCGUAAUAUGGGAUGUAGCUCCAGAGUCCAAUAGCCAAGAUGGAGAGGGUUUUGAAGAGUAGUGAGCACACAAAGCAACAUGCUUGGCUGGUGGUACUCUUCCAAAGAUCUCGGGAUUCAUCCUGUCAAAACAGACAAUGGCUUUGUGGCUAGUAGAACCAUAGAGUUGGCAUGGAGUCUUGGUACCAGAUGAUGAUGAAGAACCAUGAUAAUUGGACCUGGAACCUUGAGGAUGACGAUUUUGAGUACCACGAUGAUUGCCAUUGAAAAAACCAUGCUUGGUAUUGUGAUUUCGAUUCCCUCUGUUUAAAGUGCGAUUUGGCCCAUGAUUAGAAUUAUAACGGAAGGAAGAGUGGAAUGGUUUAUUGUACACAGAAAAAGCCUGUGGAGAAGGUGUUAAUAACAAUGAGAUCUGAGACUGAACAAAAAAGGCCUGAAAUAGCUUAGUGACAGAAGAAGAAACAGUUUGCUUGCGACGAGCCAUGGACAGUUCUUUAGUAAACAGCAGACCAUGCAAUUCAUCAAGGGAGGUAGAAGAUAAGCGAAGCAUCAUAGAGUCAAUGAAGGACUCAAAUUCAUCAGGUAGGCCAUAAAGUGUUGCUACAAUUAGGUCUUGAUCAUAGAUAGGUGCACUAGCGGUUGUGAAAGAAUCCGAAAUUUCCUUAAUUUGUUGAAGAUAUUCUAAGAUCGAUUGAGAGCCUUUUUGAAUAGACUGAAGACGAGAGUGAAGCUGAUGAACAUGAGUAUUAGAAACUCCACCAAAACGUUGUUCAAGUUUCUGCCAUAACUCUCGAGAUGUGGAUACUCCAACCGUGAAAGGAAUUAGAUCUUCAGAGAGCGUCAAAUUCAACUAGAUCAAUAGAUUUUGAUAUUCCUCAAACCACUGCUUAAACGCUGGAUUCAUAGAUCGAUAAGGGAGAAGAGGAGCAGGACUGAAGGAAAAAAUUGUGAAAACAAGUUCUUUUGAGCAACAUCUACAACAUGCAAUUAACAAUUAAAGGUGGAAUCAUGCUUGUAUGCACUAAAAAAGAAAACUUUACCCAUGAAAUUCAAAGCCUAGUAGUUAGGGUGAACCAAGACUCAACUCAAGAACAAAGUGAGUUGAGAAAUCUUAUACCUUUGUUGAUUCCUUUUUGCAUAAGCAAAGGCUAAUCACCCAAAGAGAGAGCCUUCAUUCCUUGCUUCUUAGCUCCAUGGAUUUCUUGGAGGAGGAUUGUUGAAAGGAUUCUCCAAGUUCCCAAAAUAGAGAACCUUUAAUUUUUCCACACCAAGAAGAGCAUUGAUGAGGAGAUAAGUGACCUAGAGGAAGGAAGAUUGCUAGCUAUGUUCCUCUAGGGUGGCCGGCCUCUUAGAGAGAAAGGUAGAGUUUGUGUUCUCUCCAAUUUCCUCAAAGAAAACCCUAAUGAUGAAAUGGCUAUAAAGUUGCCUUUAUACCAUCUCACAAUGGAGUGGCAAACUUGCAAUUAAGGCAAGUUCCCUACCCUUCUCUAUAUGGCCGGCCUUAAGGGUUCAUUGGGCUUUCAAGCACUUUGUGUUUUCAAGUUGUCAUACAACUUGAGUUAAUGGGCUUGACAUUCAAAUCCCAUUGGGCCUUGCAGCCCAAAACUAACCCGAGGUCUAUAAUGAACAUAUUCGUUUGAUUAAUUAACAUAUUAAUUAAUCUUAGCCAUAAAUAAUUAAACCAUUUAAUUAUUCUUACUCAUCUCCUUUGUUUCUUCAAUCUCUACCUUACACGAUGUACGAUCUAUUAGGUUCCUUUUAGCGAGACAAUGGGCGAUUAGAACUCUUUGAAUCGAUUGUGAAUUGAAACAUACUUUUAAUUCUCCCGUUAGUGUUUAUACACGUUUAGGGCUUCCACAAACCAUGAGUGACACCUAGCAGUAUGUCAUGGUUACCCAAGCUAAUCAGAAGAGGUGGAUAACCUAUUCAGUUUAGGAUUACAAUGCAAUACGGUCUUUCUAUAAUACAAUACUCUUGACCACAUUGUUUGGUUUGAUAGUUUAUUCAUGUCUACUAUCUAAUGUGUUUCUUUUACUUAUAUGAUUACCUUGAAUGUGAUUUGGAACGACUUCCUAAAUCUCAUUCAUACUCUGGCCAUAGAUUCUUAAUCAAAUCAUAGAGUAUUCUCCCUCAUGAGUUCUCAUGUGACAUGAUUAUGAGAACUUCUUGUUGAUCGUGUUUAGUGGACUGAUUCUAUAUUAAGCACCUACAUUCUUGUCUUGGUGUCAGUCACACCAAUGACUCGAAACUAGUCACUCUCCCUAAGAGAAGACAUAACACAUACUGAUAUUAACGGACUGUCAAUGCCUAAUUGGCAAUCCUAUGAUUAGGAACGUUUAUGAUAUGUAUAUGAAAGAGAAUGGUCUCAUGAAUCUAACUUCUUUAGAUCACAUUCUCUCAAUUACAUAUUCUUUGGACUUAUCGUUUAAGCAGAUAACAUUUAUAUGAGACGACUUCAAACAAUAAUUUUUGCCCUUUAUAUUAAACUAGAUUAAUUUAACAUGUGAAAUGUCCGUAAAGUAUCAUCAUAUGAUUGAUUUUAGGGCACAUUUCCAACAUGGACAUGGCUCAGUACCAUCAAUGAGUCCAAGGAGCUUGUAUUGGCGAAGAAUUGAAGCAAACCGGGCUUGCAAUGGAAGAUAAUUGGUGUGCUUGAGCUUGAUGGGCACCAUACUACCAAUGUUCUGAAUUGUAAGAGACAAAUACGAAUUUGGAGAGGGAGAACUUCCAGAGGAAUUAGGGUUCAGAGAUGAUGAUUCAAAGGGGGAUGCCAUGACUGACAGAGGCAAGAUUCGAGAGAAAAGAGGGAGAAUUACGAAUCGAAAACAGAAAUUGAUCAAGAAAUCUAAAGGAAUUGAUCAAGAAAAUGAUCGAAAAUUCAAGGCUUGAGUGGAAGAGGAUCGAGUCGGUUAGUCGAUGAGAGUCGUGAGGCAGUUGGGCGAGAUACCAUAAAGAAACAAAAGCUCUCUCUCUCUCUCUCUCUCUCUCUCUCUCUCUCUCUCUGUAACAAACAGAUUUUCAUUACUUGAAUAAUUACAACACUACAAGAGGAGAUAUAUAGCCAGAGACUUGCUGCACUAAUGCCCUUAGCUCCUACAACUAAUUACACAAUUACCACAACUAAUUGUAUACAGUUACAACUAACUAGUGACUUGUUUGGCUAGCUUAGCAUCUGCGUUAAUAAAGAUUCGUCAUGCCAACAUCGCUGAGCUUGUUGGCUAUUGUUCAGAACAUGGGCACAACAUGUUGAUUUAUGAGUACUUCAGCAAUGGCUCGCUUCACGAAUUCUUACACAUGUCGGAUGACUACAGUAAUCCUCUAACUUGGAACACAAGAGUCAGAAUCGCCUUAGGCACUGGCUGUUGAGUAAGUGAAUAUAUAUACUUAUAUAUCUAGUAAUUAAUUAUUUUGGUUUACUAGGAUUUCUUGUAAUAAUUGUAAUAAACUCUUUGCAAAUUGUUUCCAGGUACCUGCAUGAUGGUUGCUUUCCAUCCACCGUUCACAAGAACAUCAAAUCAUCCAAUAUUUUUCUUGACAUCGAACUCAAUCCCCGUCUUUGCAAUUAUGGCUUGGCAACAUUUCACCAGGUUAAUUCCCGUCACUCUUAAAACUAAAUGCAACCUUUCAUAUAUAAAGAGAUCCGGGCUUUGCUGUCUAUAGAGAAUACGAUUAUUUUCAUGUAUUGAUGGUGAAUUUUCCUUCUUUUUUCAGCGUACUAGCCAAAACCUCGGGAUGGGAUACAACGCUCCAGAAUGCACAAAGUCAACAGCGUUUACAGGAAAGACUGAUGUUUACAGGUUUGGAGUAGUCAUGUUGGAACUAUUGACAGGUAGAUUGCCUGUUGACAGGUAUGUUAGAUUUGCGUCUUACUCUCCUUUCCAUUCAUGCUAUUAUUGUCGAUGUCAUGCAAUUCUAAACCGGUUUGGUUCCUCUCUUUAGUUCAAAACCACCGACGGAGCAGUGCCUUGUACGAUGGGCAACUCCCCAGCUUCAUGAUCUCGAUGCAUUGUCACAAAUGGUGGACCCUGCACUGCGUGGACUCAACCCUCCCAAGUCAAUCUCACGGUGUGCUGAUAUCGUUUGCCCUCUGUGUUCAAUUAAUUACUACGUAAUAGUUACCACACACCCAGAAACACAUUCGCAUAGAGAAAGGGAUCUAUAUAGUGACUUAGUUGCCUUAAACCCACUGGUUAGUACUGCAAUUUGGAUAUAGUACUGCAAUUUAUACCACAUUUACGGAUAACUACCACCCUAAACAUUUCUCUAAUAGUGGUGGGUCACAUCAAAAAGGUAGGUAGUAAAUGUGAUACAAAUAACAUUUUUCGAACUAAAUAUGAACAAUAAGUUCUCUUAAAAAAAAACUGCUUCUGCUUUUACUCUUAUUUUUUGAGCAUUGGGAAAUAACAAAAGAUUGUUCUUGACUAUUUUUUAUUCCUUUACAUCCAUCAGCGGGAGCCAGAAUUUUGGCCACCAUUGUCGGAGGAGGUGCUACAGUUGGUGCGGUUAGUGCAGAGCUCUACUGCGAACAUGAGUGAAGAUUUUGGUCUCGGGGCAUCUCGUCACUCCAGUGCCAUGAGCAGCAGGAGAGAAGAUCUGGCAUUGUCUAUGUUUUUAUUCAUCUCUUACUAAGUUGGCUUCAUUCCUCCGAAUUAUAGAUGCAAACAUGGUGCAUCUCUAAUCUGUCAUUGUAUGUUUUUUAUUCAUCUCUUACUAAGUUGGCUUCAUUCAUCUCUUACUAAGCGUGCUUAUACUUAAAACCAUGUCGUUUUGAGCAUAAAGGAGGUGUAGAGUGUCACGCCCUGAUCCCAAGAUACGUCUAGGAUCGACACGUGAUGAUAUAAAGUCCUUAUGAAGCUACCAUCCCUCGCUUCCGAAACAUGACAAAAAACAACCCCAAUGGUUGAACUGAAGUUGAGGAAUAGGCUUAUAAUAGCCUUGGAUAUUAACUUGUAAACCUAACUGAACCAACCUUGAAUUCCAACUCACAUAUUCACCCGAGUUUCUCCUUAACUAUAAGAUGAGAAAUAACUAGAACUGACAUUCGUCUCGUAUUUUGUGUGUUCGUAUCGUUUUCAUGUCAUACUUGAUAUUUUAAUGGAUCGUGUCGUGUAAGACCCGUUAAAAUAAACGAGUAUAUGACCUGACUAGAAAUUGACUCGUUAAUAUUAAUGCCAAGGAAACCAAAAUUUUAAACCAAAAUUGCAAACCAAAUGAUAUGGUUGUUGAUGUUUGGAUCAUUACUUUAGCGUUGAUUAACGUGUUUAUUUCCUAUUAGUGACACAUCAUUUGAUUUGCAAAUUUGGUUUAAAAUUUUUGUUUCCGUAGCAUUACCCAUAUGGAUAAUGCUAGGGAGACCAAAAUUUUUAAACCAAAUGAUAUGGUUGUUGAUGAUUGGAUCAUUACUUCAACGUUGAUUAACAUGCUUAUUUUAUAUUUGUGACAUAUCAUUUGGUUUGCAAAUUUGGUUUAAAAUUUUGGUUUUCGUAGCAUUACCCAUAUGGAUAAUGCUAGGGAGACCAAAUUUGCAAACCAAAUGAUAUGGUUGUUGAUUAUUUGAUCAUUACUUCUUCGUUGAUUAACGUGCUUAUUUCCUAUUGGUGAUAAUUAUUUGGUUUAAAAUUUUAAUUUCCCUAGCAUUACCCUUUCAAUAUCCCAAAUAGAUACAACUUGGUAGAUAAGUCCAAAGUCAACUACCCAAACCAAACUCAUUUAAUUUAUUUUACUGCAAUCAAAGUAAACUUACUUUCUACACAAUAAAUUCUUAAUAACAAAAAGAAACCCCACGAGCUUCUACAUCUAUUAUUUUUGCAUUUAUACCUGAAGUAACUCAUUGACUAAUUUGGGUGGUAACAUAAACUGUAUUAUUUGGUAGUAAAACUACAGUUUUUCAAGAUAUAAAACAGUAUUGUGUUAUGUUCUAGUGAUAACAACUGAUGGAAAAGCAGCAAUUGGGAACUUUUUGUUGACAAUGUACAUGACGAAUGUAUCUAUUUUAUCCUCUAUAGCAAUUGGGUAAACUAAAGCUUAGGAAUAGACUUAUAAUAGCCUUGGAUAUUAACUUGUAAACCUAACCGGACCGACCUUGAAUUCCAACUCACAUAUUCACCCAAGUUUCUCCAUAACUAUAAGAUGAGAAAUAACUAGACCUGACAUUUGUGUCAUGUUUUUUGUGUUCAUAUCGUUUUUAUGUCAUACUUGUUAAGACCCGUUAAAAUAAACAGGUAUAUGACCCCACCAUAAAUUGACUUGUUAAUAUUAAUAAGUAAUAUGACUUGACUUUUUACCUGUUAAAUAAAAUAUAUUUUAAACCAAUAAAUAAUGAAAUGAAAACUAUAAUACUAAAUAGUAUACACAUACCCCAUUGUCACAUAAAUAUUAAUUCAAACAUAAAACUACAUUUGUCUUUUAAGUAUCAUAUAAAUAUUAAUUAACGUAGAAGUGUGAAAAAUCUUGAAAAAAAUUAUAUAAACGCUCGUACUAAUUAACAAGCUUUACAACUUCCGUGAAAGGCUCAACUUUGAAAUUUGCCACUAUAAUCACAUAAAAUAUAGAUCAAAAUUUAACUGUUGAUUAUCGUUUACAUUUAUACUCCAUUCUUCUCACCAAAUUCUUCUUUUCAGAUUUUCUUUUUUGAAAACAUAAUCUUUUAAAGGAUGCAGAAAGAUGAACAGUUUGGGUCAUUGAUAUUAUAUUCAGAGUUUACCGUUAGUGAAAACAUUGUUUGGAGUUUAUAAAGUCUUUAGAAACUAUAUAACAUCGACUCGUAUUUCAGUUAACCAUAAAUAUUAGAACAUGAUAUCAACGAUUUGAACCGUUCAUUUUAUUUUUAUAAAUCUGCUAAAAGAUCAUGUUUAAAAAGAUUUGAAAAACAAAAUUCAAUGAGAAGAAUAAAGUGUAAACGAUAAUUGACGGUUAAGUCUAAAUCUAAGAUUUAUGGAUUAUAGUGCCAGAUUUCGGAGUUGACCCCUUCACAAAAGUUGUAAAGUUUGUCAUUAUGAGUAAUUGUAUAUUUUUUUUAUACAAUGAUUAUUAUGAAUUUUGCACUCAAAUAAAAAAUACUAUUCAUGAGGGGUAAUCUAAACAACGAUGUAACGAUCAUCUACGCGUGGAGGAUGUAAUCCCAAGCGUCUAUAUAUUCUUUCACCUUUUUACACUUGUACAUUAAUUAUUAUGAUUUUUUUAAUGUAUUUGGUAUUUUGGAUUAUUUUGAUAAUUUUUUUUUGUAUUUUACAAUAUUUUAAUUUCACUUUUAAGAAGAUAAAACAUUUAUGAGUAUGAGUGUAUGAGAGAGGUAAAAAAUUUUUGGGUAACAGAUCAAGUAAAAUUUAUAACAUUAAUGAUAAUAAGAAAAUCUCACAAUAAAAAUAAAUAAAUAAAACUUAAUUUUUUUUUAAAACUUAUCUAGAAUAAUAAUACAAUAAUACAUAUUUAAUAUACAAUAUAUACACUAUGGCUGUUGUAUUUUAUAGUAAAUUUUUUUUUUAGUAGUUUAACUUUAAAAGCAUCAAAAUAAUUUUUUUCUUAACAGUUAAAACGUGUUACCCACAUGUUACUUGAGUGUAAACCCGUUAAGGACUCGUUUUUAACGGGUGACCCGAUAAUGACUGACACACCCCGACUUGAAAUGUCCACUAGGACUCCGAAUCGAGCUGUGUUGGCUGACACCUGGAAGGUGACAAAGCCAUAAAGUAUAGUGAUGUGGAAAAUGUGAAUAAAUUUAAACCUAAAAGUGCCUAAAGACGAGUGCACUGUGAACGGGAAUGAACUCAUUUCACACGCGACGUCAAAGCAUAAGUAAAGAACAGUAGUGUGGGUAAGGAUCAUACCCUUAGAGGUAGCCACCUAUAUUGAGAUUCGCCAAGAAUCCUACCUUAGAGGUAGCCACCUAUACUGAGAUUCGUCCAUACGAACUUUCAGCAGUUAAAACCUAAAGGGGCGAAAAACAAGGGUGAGUGGUCCUGAAAAUAAAGUUUUACUAAAAACCUUUUGAAAACGUUAUAACUCAUCGCUGUAAAACCAUAUAGUUUCCAGAAAAUAAUACUACGUAUAUACGUAAAACAAUGCACAAAGACAGUAAAAACCAAGUAUGCCAUGUCAUAAUGUUUCAACGAUGAAAUAUGUAAGCCAUGUGUGAAAAUCAAGGUAAAAUAAUAUGCCAGCCGGAGUCACCUAAAAUGACCUAUACGGCUGAACCUAUAGCUUAUCAACCUAUGCCUGCACACGAGUCGGAACUACCUAAUAUGGUCUGUACAACAGGCUGGCUGUAAAUAAGUACACUCAAGUGCUACGAUCACGUGAAGGUUGUGCGAUGAAUCGUGGGUCACCUACGAGUUGGAACCAUCUAUUGUGGUCUGUAUGACAGGCUGGCAGCAGACUUGGAUCCAAGGUAAGCGUGCGGUGUAGGAGGUGAACGAUCACGUGAAGGUUGUGCCUUAGCCUCGGGCGGGAGCACUAACACCGGGGUGCAGGAUAAUGAACUCUAAGUGCAUCUAUGCAUAACAAUGUAAUGUAACUAGUCAUUCACAUACUAACUCACCUAAAGCUUACCUGAGCCUCCGCAACAUCAUUCCAUACAAUGCAUAAUAAUAGUAAUGAAAUACUAAAAAUAUAAUUCAUUCACGACAUGGCAUUCAAAGCAUAGUUCAUAUAAAACGUUUCUGGAAACCGUAAAACAUAUAUAUAUAUAUAUAUAUAUAUAUAUAUAUAUAUAUAUACACACACACAUUAUAAAAAGGAAGAAAACCCACUCACCUGGAGUCCGCGCUACAACUCCCAAGCACAAACAUCAAGGCAUCACGAACGAUCGAUACCUAGAACAAUUAUCAAACCACAUCUCAGAAUCCUUAUCAAUAGAACGCGUAACUUACAUAAAACACAUCCCUAAGAACAUUCUAGAAUGAUUCGAGACCCAUUGACCAAAAGUCAACCAUCGGUCAAAGAUCGAUGGUAGGGUCUACAACCCUACGUAACUCGAUCUGGAAGAUCCGUACCUUCCAAUCCGUAACUUCCAAAUAUCCACAUUAUGCUUCUAAAAAAUCAUACUAAAGUUUCAUUACGAUUCAACGGUUAGAUCUCCGCCAAUUGCCAAAACCAUGUGGCUGCCGACGUUUUAUUUUAUGAAUUUACAAAUCUAAUUCGGAAAGACUGGUAUGUCAGAUUCCCGAUCCAUAAAUUCCUAGGGUCCUCAAAUAUUACAUACUAUAAUGUAUUAAAGUUUGGUGACGAUCCAACGAUCGGAUUGUCGAUUACUAUUCUAAUCAAGUGGUGGACCUUAAUGGAACUAGGUUCAAAUGAUAGAAAUUCAUCAAUCAGACUUCACAAAUGGAAUCAGGGUAUUAAAAUUUAGCCUAGGAAGGUCAGGGGACGUCUCGGCCCACAAGUCGCCCCGACUUGCUGGAAAAUCAACUAUUUCCAAAAAUUACCAAAUUUUACAAACAAGUAGAUCUCAAUAAGGGGAACAAUUUUUAUACCUGUGGCCAAGUCCAAUUUGGCUAGGAAACUCCUAAAAUCUACAUCGAUCCGUCAGAAACCCUUGAAAUGGGUGUUCUUAAUUCGACUCCAAACAAGUUUUGACGCCUCAACCAUUGCUUGGGCUUUGUUCCUGGGGUUGAUGGGAGUCUAUUAGUGGUGCUAGUCGAUUGGAUUAACUUCAAAUUUUGGUGAUUCGAACCCAAAACCGCUGCACCCCACCGUGCGGGUUUUCCCAAUUUCAAUGCUAAAUCUCUUGAUUUUUGGGGUGUAAUAGGAAGGGGGGAAGAUCAUGAAGGGUUUUCCAAGUGGUGGUUUGAUAAAAUUCGCCAGAAAAAUGGACGAUUCAUUGUCGGAAAAUCUCCUAGAAACGGGUUGGGUCACGGGUUAAAGGGAGGGUCCAAUUUUCUCUUUCUUUUCUCCCUCAUUUCCCCUCAUUUCCUUUCCUCCUGAUUGGCUGGUUCUCUACCUCCUUUCUCUCCUUCUCAUCCUAGUGGUCCAUUUCUUCCUUCCCUUUUUUUUUUCCUUUCAUCCCAGCCACACACGUGUCAUUUCACAUGGCUUCAAAUUUUUUGGAACUUUCUAAAGAAGGUUAAAAUUACCAAAAUAUCCUAACUUUAAACAUUAAUAUCUCCUUUGUUAUAACUCCAAAUUACGUUCCAGUUGCGCCCACACGUUCGUAACGAGAAUAUUACAAGGAUAUGUCAAGAAAAUAGAUCUUACAUGACAUCUCAAGGCGGUCAAACAAAAUCAAUGCAUUUGCCUCGAAAGGCAUUUUCGUACAUUCACUUAUUAAAGUUAUAAAAAACCGUAAAAUUGGAAACGGGUCGUUACAAUGACUCGAUUAGUUAUCAUGUUGACUCGAAACCCGUUAUUUUUGUACUGUGUUAACGGAUUGUGUAAGAAACUAUUAGGUUUUAUAAUAACAUGCAUGCAUUUGUGUUAAAAUAUAUAAGAGAUUCCAUCACACACAAGGUUGAAUAAGAUAUUAGAAGAAAAAUGUUAAGGAACAUAUCUCAGAUUGAUUAUGUCAUUAUUGUAAUUUGAUACAUAGUUAUUUGCUUACUUAUUUAGUCUGAUUUCCCUUGUUUAUAGGCAUCAGUAUAGGAUUAUGAUUGUAUAGCCUCCUUAUAUAUUUGUAACCCUAGCUUUAUCAUAAUAGAAGAAAGAAUUAUAGCAGCUCUAUCUUUUCUAUGAUGGUACCUGAGAACUGAUCUGGGAAAUAAAGCAAAACACAAACACUACCCUUGCCAAUGCAGCCAUGGAUGACAAACCAAAAAAACAGUUAACCUCUUCAGGCAUGACUUCACACCUAAAGUGGGACAACCCUAACCACCCACUUUACCUUCAUUAUUAGGACCAGCCUGGUGUAGUCCUUGUACCACAUUAAUUGGUGGAGGACAAUUACAAUACAUGGGCUUAGUCCAUGAUCAUGGCCUUAACGGUCAAGAACAAGCUAGGACUCGUCGAUGGCACAGUCAAAAAGCCAAACGAAGACAAGCUUAAAGAAUUGCAGCAAUGGAACCAAUGCAAUAAUUUGGUGAAGACUCAUGACAUUAGGGUCGAUGUCAAAGGAAGUUUCAAGGAGUUUCAUCAACUGUAAAGAUGCUAGACAAAUGUGGCUCAACUUGCAGGAAAGAUUCUCUCAUGUGAACAUUGUCCAACUGUUUCACAUAGAGAAUGAGAUUCACGACUAUGUGCAAGGACUCAUGACAGUAAGUUCCUACUUCACUAAACUAAAAUGUCUCUGGGAUGAACGAGAUGUACUAUGUUCGAUUCCGGCAUGUAGUGGUGAAACAAAGGAGAUUGCUUCGUACGUUGAAACACAGAAGAUCAUGAAGUUUCUCAUGGGGUUGAAUGAUUCUUACGCCACCGUUCGCAGCAACACUCUUCUCCUUGAGCCAUUGCCCACAGUAAACAAAGCUUACUAAUUGGUUCUCUGCCAUGAACGACAGGUAGAAGUUUUUAUAGGGAAAAACAAUACUACCCAACUAGAAGCUGAGGCAUUCGCCAUGAAAACCACUAGCUGAAAAGCCGAAUCAGAGGACGGUGGACCUUGAUGUGGGAAGUGCAACAAGACGAAUCACACUACUAAAAAUUGUCGUGCUCAUUAAGAGUACCUUCUGUGGAUGGUAGGAUCAUUCUUUUGAUUUUUUCCGUAAGAGGAAGGCGGCCGCUGAGAGUGAAUAAAAUUAAUCUUUCUCUUCCAAAGGCAAUCAAGUUGCAACCCAUAACAAAAGGGAAGUGAUGCCUAACUUUCCUUUUUCCCAGGAGGAUUGCAAGUAAAUUCUCCAUAUGCUAAACAAGAACAAAUCAUCUUUUGCCAACCAAGUGGGUAAUUCUUCAAACCAUGAAGAACUUUUAGGUAAAGCUUUUUCUUUCACAUGCAAUGGCAAGAAAAAUGUUUGGAUUUUGGAUAAUGGGGCCACAGACUAUAUCGUUUGCAGUCUUGAUUCCCUUACAUCUUCAGGACCCAUUGAAAACCAUACUAUUGAAUUACCAAAUGGCUAAUUUGCUAAAGUUCCUCAUGUUGGACAAGUUGUUUUAUCUCCCAACCUUGUUCUUGAUAUCAUUUUGUGUGUACCACUCAUCACGUUAAACUUGAUAUCAAUUAGCAAUUAGCCUAUGACUCACUAUACAUCACAAUCUUUCUAUACCAAUUUUGUGUCAUACAGGACCUACGCUUGGGGAAAAUGAUUGGGAUGAGAAUUGAACGGGAGGGACUUUAUUAUCUUGACCCACCAAAGAAAGGAACAUGCAACACCGUCAAAACCCCACCUUCUAGCUUUUGGCACCAACAUCUUAGGCAUCCAUCGCAUAAAGUUUCUAUGUUAUUUCCAUUUUUCCAAAAUAAAUCUUGUGAUUCAAAUAAAUGUUUCAUUUUCCCAUUGGCCAAACAAACGAGACUACCGUUUUCAUUGAGUUCCAUAUCCACUAGGUCAUGUUUUAAGUUAAUCCAUGUUGAUAUUUGGGGUGGUUAUCAAGUUGCUUCCAUUUCAAGUGCAAAAUAUUUUCUCACCAUUGUUGACGAAUAUACUAGGACCACAUGGAUUUAUUUGAUGAAACACAAAUUUGAUACAAUAGAAUUCCUUGUCCAAUUCAUCCACAUGGUAGAAAAUCAAUUCAAUACUAAGGUCAAAAUGGUUCAAAGUGACAAUGGUCCCGAGUUCAAACUUGACACUUUCUAUAAUAUCAAGGGAAUUGUCCAUCAAAUUAGUUGCAUCAACACACCACAACAAAAUGGUGUCGCUAAACGUAGGGAUCGACACUUGCUAAAUGUUGCUCGUGCCUCACUUUUUCAAGCUAAUCUUCCUAAACGUUUUUGGGGGGGGGAUGCAAUCUUAGCUUCUGCCUAUGUCAUAAAUCAAACACCCACACCCAUUCUUCAAGGAAAACACCAUAUGAAAAAUUGUUUCAUAAGGAACCAAAUUACUCUCACCUACAAGUUUUUGGAUGUUUGUGUUUUACAUCAACUCAUGCACAAAAACGUUACCCUCCAAAAGGUUUUUGUGUCAUAGGAUGUUUUUUUUUUUUUAAGAUCAAUUUCCCUACCACACCUCAGACAUUUCUGCUGUCCCCAAAUCCUUGCUCAAUACAAAAUCCUCACCAUUGCACUUAGAUAUGGACUCUCAGGGUCAUCUCUGAGAUUUUGAGGGCCCUGUGCGAAAUUUAUAAAAGCGCCCCUUCUUAAGAUAAGUCUAAAAAAUGUAGGACAAUGUAUUGACGCUAGAAAACAAUCACUUAAAUCAAAACAAAGCUUAGCACUCACUGAUUGCAAGUUUAAAAAUGUAAUUAAUAAUAAGUAAAAAGAGUUACAAACAUAACAUUCACUAAAUAAUCAAAAGUAGUUCAAUCUUAAACAACCAAACAAGAAAACAAACUUCAAAAACUCUAACUUUAAAGUUUCACUUGAAUAUGUAACAUUAUUAUAUAAUAAUAUUGAAAAAAAUACCGUCUUUAUGGUGUAUUAUUGGCACUCGAAAUAUCUUAUUGUACUAUAAUUUUUUGUAUUUAGAAGAAAAAAAAUUACGCUUAUAAGAAGUGUAAGAUGAGAUUUUAAAGUGCUAACAAAAUCAAUUUUUGAAUAUAGAACAUUAUUUCAUAACAAUAGCAAUUUUAAAUAUAGAAUAUUAUUAAAUAUAAAUAUUAGGUGACAAAAUGUUUUGGGACCCCUUCAAAUUUGGGGCCCUGUGUGACUGCACCUUUCGCACCCCCUCAACGCACCGUCUGACUCUUUCCCUCCCACCAUUCCUCAAGUCAUCACAUCUGACAACUUAUCUUUUGAAUCCCAUGCCACCCCACAAACACCAGAAAUAUCGCAGCCACCUUUAUAACCGUCUUAAAUACCGAACAAGAUCUUGCCUUCUCCAGAAACACCACCUACUGCUCUUAUUUCCUUAGCACCCACUAACACCCCGCCCAGGCCUGCACCUACACCUUUACCACCCCGUCGCGGUACACGUUCCACAAAGCUUUCCUCAUUUUUGUAAGACUUUCACGUCGAGACCUCUCUCCCGUCAAGGCAUGCUCCGACAUCUUCAACAAACAUGGUUACGUCAUCAGGUACCUCUCAUCCACUCUCUCACCACUUAUUGUAUACUCGUCUUUCACCCCACCAUAAAAUCUAUAUAGCUAACCUCACAGUCAUUAAAGAACCCACAAGAUUUUAGCAGGUUGUUUGAGACCUACAUUGGCAUACUGCCAUGCAACAUGAGAUUGCAGCUCUUCAGGCAAAUCACACUUAGUUUCUUGUGUCGUUGCCACUCCAAACAACCCAUUGGAUGCAAAUGAGUCUAUAAAGUGAAGCUAAAACCUGAUGGGACAAUAGAGAGGUACAAAACACAGCUGGCUGCGAAGGAUUAUAGCUAGAUAUAAGGGGUUGAUUACAGGGAAACCUUUGCCCUCAUGGCCAAAUUGACCACUAUCUGUGUGCUUCUUAGUGUGGUAGCCUUGCGAGGAUGGCACUUGCAUCAACUAGACGUCAACAAUGCCUUUUUACAUGGUGACCUAGACGAGGAAGUUUACAUGAUCUUGCCUCCUGGAUUCGGAUGAAAGGGGGAGACUCGAGUAUGUAAAUUAAACAAAUCCCUAUACGGUCUAAAACAAGCUUCGUGGCAAUGGUUUCUUAAACUAUCCAAUGCACUCAAGGCUGCUGGGUUUCACUAGUCAUGGUCUAACUACUCACCGUUUGUCCGCCGUCAUCAAGGUAAUUUUAUCGCCUUUUUGGUUUAUGUUGAUGAUGUAAUACUAGCAGGCAAUAAUUUGCAAGAAAUCGAAGAGACCAAGUAGUUCCUUUCCAAACGUUUUAAACUGAAGGACUUGGGUAAGCUCAAAUAUUUCUUAGGGAUAGAGGUUGCACGAUCAAAACAUGGGAUCUUUCUAUGCCAAUAGAAAUAUGCAUUAGACAUAUUGGAUGAUGUUGGGUUCUUAGGUGCCAAACCUUCACGAUUUUUGGUUGAUCAAAACAUCUCUCUAACACAAACGGAAAAGAAGCUACUCAGUGAUGCAUCUCCAUACAAACGGCUUGUAGGUAGACUAAUCUACCUAACCAUAACAAGGCCUGACCUAGCCUAUGUGGUUCAUAUGUUAAGUCAAUUCAUGGAAAAACCUCGACAACCACACCUUAAGGCAGCAUAUAAGGUCCUUAAAUACAUCAAAAAUGCACCUAAGCAAGGUAUCCUCCUGCCUUCUAUGGGCACAUUACAAUUGAAGGCAUUUUGCGAUGCCGACUGGGCUAGAUGCAAGGAUACCAGAAGGUCGAUAACAGAUUAUUAUGUUCUUCUUGGUCAAGCAUCGAUUUCCUGGAAAACAAAGAAACAAACUACCGUAUCUCGCUCCAAUGCAGAGGUUGAAUAUCGUUCUAUGGCCACUACAUGUUGCGAGAUUACAUGGUUGAAGAAUAUCUUGAACGAUAUGAGGGUGAGUCACCCACAACCAGUCAUGUCGUUUUGUGAAAAUCAAGCGGCACUACAUAUUGCUUCGAAUCCCAUAUUUCAUGAACGCACAAAGCAUAUAGAGAUCGAUUAUCACCUAGUAACAGAGAAAGUCCGAGGAGGGAUGAUAUGUGCAGCUUACAUACGAACAAUUGAUAAGGUAAUUGACAUAUUCACAAAGCCAUUGAGUUGGACAUAGUUUGAGACAUUACUCAGCAAGUUGGGUGUCAAUAACAUACACUCCCACUUGAGGGGGAGUGCUAAGGAAGUUAUCUCAGAUUGGUUAUGUCAAUAUUGUAAUUUGAUAUAUAGUUAUUCGCUUACUUAUUUAGUCUGAUUUCCCUUGUUUAUAGGCAUUAGUAUAGGAUUAUGAUUGUAUAGCCUCCUUAUAUAUUUGUAACCCUCGAAAUCUGCGUGGUUUCUUCUGCUAUAUCUCUUUAGCUAGUUAUCUGCAAUAUACGUGCACGCCAUACAUUUCUUAAUUUUUUCGCUAUAUUACCAACUAGCUAUUAGCGUAUUUUUCCUGCUAUCAACUUACGUGCACAUUUCUACUUUUCGUUUUCUCCAUAUAUAGUUGCACAAGUAUUUUGUUGUCUUCAAACUAGCACAUUUCUGGGUUUUGUGCUUUCAUGACUCUCCAUACUUGCUCCUACAUCUUUCUUACUACACAAUUAAGCAUACAAUUGAGUUUCAUUAAUUACUGGCUUAAGUGGUUGAACAAUAGAGAAAGUUUGAUUUGGACAUACUACGUCACCAUGGCCAUCAAUUGUUAACUGGUUCUUUAUCCAUGACAUUGACAAAAUAACAAAUGAAUUUUUUUUUCAUUUUUUUAUUAGCAUUCUGCUUAUUGUUUGAUACACUCCAUAUAAAAAUUAAUUAUUCCAACUUAUUUAGCCUAAGACGUAUUUAAGCCAUAUUAUUAUAACUAAUUCAUUGUGUAGCUUAGCUCAAUCCCUCAUUCAUUAGUGUAAAUAAUAUCGUUGUAUUACAACCAAAUGACUUAUAUAUCUCAAUAUAAAAUGAUAACUUAAGCCCCACAAAACUUACAAAAAUAAAAUUAUAUUUAUAAACGCAACCCAAAUUAUGUUCAAUGUAUCUUAUUUUUCUUCAAGCUCUACUUCUUGUUACAUAGUUGUCUAGUCAAUGCUGACCCAACGGAAAAAUGCAAUUACCAAAUCUGCAUUUUGAAAGCCAACCAAUUCGACACCUUCAACACAAAUAAAUCAUGGCAACCGACAUCUUUGAUUGAAUCAUGUCUACCCAACAACAUUUAAGUGACGUUGGCGACUUGGCAUAGUUCAUACAUCAAUACUAAAACCCCUAAUUAACAGAAACCCCCAAAUUGAACACUAGACGCAAACCUAGGUUUACAGAAAAAUCUAAGAAUUAUUUAGGCUAAUGAUAUGGAAAUUGAAUAGAAAUGGGAGGAAAAUUUCGUUUCUCUUGUGAUGAGAUGUUUCAUAUUCAUGUUUGGGAUUAUUCAUCCGUAUUCGUUAGAUGUUUGAUUAGUGUUCCUGUAUUUACUUAAUACUCGUAUUGACUAGUUCUUUAUAACUAGUUUUUAUUAUAGUACAUGACAAUGACUAAUUGAUAAAGUCAUGUGUUUGGUUAGUACUAGUGUUUAUGCAUUUACUUAAUACACAAAUUAUUUAAUAGUUAUAUGUACUUAAAUAGGAUAUAUUCUUUGUUUUUUGGUUGCAUACUUAAUUGUUAGAUGUUAAAUAUAUUAAAUAAAUGUCACUUAGUAUUACGGUUUAGUGAUAUUUCUCUUCACUUGUAAAUGAGAGAUCUUAGGUUCGAUUCUCGCCAAAGGCGAAUUUGAACCAUAUUAUUGCUAGCUCAUUGUGAGGCUAAGUUCACCCCCUCUCCUUAGUGUGUGUGUGUGUGUGUAUAUAUAUAUAUUAGAUAAAUGUGUGUACCAUAGUUAGUCCCAUAUUGUUGUCUCUCUAUUUCCAAAGAAAACAAAAGGUUGAAACGAAGAGGUGGAAAUAUGAUGAGGGACCAUUUGCACCAAAUCUUUUUUCAUUUUGGUUGUAUUCUUUUUGUUUAUUUUCCGAGUAUAGUUUGACUUUAACAAAAAAAAAUACAAGUUGUCUUUUUGGUUUUUUCCACCAUAAGACCAACUCCACCCCUUAGAGUAAAACCUAUAAUUUCCUUAUAUUCCCCCUCCCAAUCCUUUCCAACCCUAGUUCUAAUUUGAAGUUAGAAGCUAAAACCGGAAAAAAAUACCAGAUUCCGGCCAAGAAAUAGCCCAAAGAAAUGUGUGGGGUCCACCAGUGAGAGUGGAAAUGGGCGCUUGAAUGCCAGACGCAAAGGUCGGACGCUCACAUGGGAGCAACGCGCCAAGGGCAGGCAACGGCAUGGCCCAACCCACAUGGGCAUGUCAGCCACUUGCGUCAGCAAGUAACAACUACUUUUUUUAUCGAACAGCUUGAAUCAAUUGGGCCUUUGGAUCAAUUUUUUUUUUCAGUUUUAUAUUUAUAUAUUUAUUGAAUCCAACAACUACUUUUUUUACCCAGUUUCCGACGAGUUUUUCAGUUUUGCCACUGACCAGUUACCUUUCAAGCUAUUUUCCGGCAACCAUUGGGCUUCCAACAGGUAUAUCUUGUUCUACACUUUCCUAUCUUUAUUUUGAUAUAUUAUGGGUUGAAUUUGGUUCAGAAAUGAUUGAGUUACGAAGCUUUGAAAAUUGCCCAAACUUCCGGCCAAGAGCUCUGGGACACUUAACGGAGGUUUUAACGGAAUGAACAUAAUAAUGGAUGGUGGAUAAACUCAGGGACCAUUUCUACUGAUUUUCAAUCUCAGGGACCAAAGUGAUGUGUUAUGCAAAUCUCAAGGACUAUUUUAGCUAAAAGCCUAAAAAAAAUUAUUUAACUCAAAAUUCAUCUAAAAACUCUAUAAAUACCUAUGUAUUUAUUCAAACAUUCACACAAAACUCACUUUUCUCCUACAAUUCUUCCAAUUUUCUUUCUACCAUUUCUUUGCAUUUUCAAAAUUUUCAAGGUGGCAAAAGAUCAUAUUAGAGGUCGUAAUUGGACCUUUAAGGAAGAUGUUGCUUUAUGCUUGGCAUCAGUUUCUAUUAGCGAAGAUAGUGCCGUUAGCACAAAUCAAAAUAAAAAGGUUUUGUGGGGUAAAUCAUUGAUAAGUUCAAUGAAAACUCCAACGCUGGCCGAAUGGAAGGUGGUGGCGUUUACGAUCAGUGGAAGGUUAUCAACAAAGCGUGCACUUUAUGGAAGAGAAGCUUGAAGAGAGCCGUGGUUGACAUGGCUAGUGGAAGGAGUGCCACAGAAGUUGUGAGUUUCUUUGUUGAAAUUUUAUUUAUCAUGUACAUAAUAUUAUUUUGCAACUAAUUGUUUUUAUGUAUUUCUUGCAUAGGGUGACAAAGCAAUGACAAUUUACAAGAUAAGAACUACACCAAAAAAAUCAAGCUUUUAAGUUGCAUCAUGCUUGGAACAUUCUCAAGGAUUGUCCGAGGUAGGGAAUUGAUGCGGACCAACAAUGGAGAAAAUUAUUUGGUAGUGAAGCUGCACAGACAAAUUAUGUCAAUAUUAGCUUUAGGUGGCGGAUAUUAGAAACAUCAUAUCGGAUAAAUUAUAUUCGACACAUCAUUUAAUUAGUGGCGGAUAUUAGAAAAAUCCUGUCGGUUAUAUCCGACAUAAAUUCCUAGCGGAUAUUUAUUGGCGGAUAUCAAAAAUAUCUUGUCGAUUAUAUCUGACACUAUUUUUUAAUCCUUUUUUUUUUUAAUAUUUUUGACAGACUCUGAUGGUUUUUAAGUUAAUGGUAGCGGUUAUAACCGACAAAAUUUGACUAUUUUAUUAUUUUACUUUCUGGCGGUUAUUAUUUUAGUAUUAUGGCGGUUAUAACCGACAGAAAUAAAAAUUUUAUUAUUUUAAAAUAUUAUAUUGAUUAUAAAUAAAUAAAUAAACACAUUUUUAAAAUAAUAUUUUUUUUCACUCAUGACUCUAUAGUCUAAUGAACCCAAUUCCCACAAGCCAUAAACUUUCUGAGAGAAUAAUAACAACAUACUACAAUCUGAAGCUCUACCAUUUUUGUAAUAAGGAUUAUGCUCCUCUCAUAGGCAAGCAAGAUACGAAGAAAUUCAAACAAUUUUUUUCAAUCCGUCAUAAAGCACAUUGUCUGGCACAUAAACAUACAUGAACAUCUAGUGUACUCUACCAUGUCUGAUUAUAUUAUUUUAAAAUGUUAUGUUGAUUAAAAAUAAAUAAAUAAACACAUGUUUUAAAUAUUUUUUUUUCACUCAUGGCCCUAUCGAAUAUAACCGACAUGAACAAAGCAAAAUUUUGGACGGUUCUCUGAAUGUUAUUUUUUUGCGAUUUUUUACACAUGCUAUCUCGGAGUAUAUACAAAUAUAUUUAACAGUUGGAUCGUUGAAAGAAUGCAUAACCUGUCAAAUUGAUAGAUUUAACAAACAUUUAAGAGUUAAUGUUAUACUUCCAUGAAGUAUAAAAUUUUUAAAUUGAAGAUGAAAUUCAUUCAUUGCAUUCUUAUAGGGUCGAAGAGUGUAGCUAUAAAAAAUGAUCAAAAUCAGAGCUAAAAUAAUCGUUAAAUUGUGAUUUUUCGUUUAUAACCAUGGAAAACUUUUGUUCCGUUACCUAAUAUCUGAAUGUUUGUUUUUUGCGAUUUUGUACAUAUGCGAUCUCGGAGUGUGUACAAACAAGUUUGACGGUUGGAUCGUUGAAAAACGUUUUGUAGCAUGCGUAUCACAUCAAAACAAUAGAUUAAACAAACACGAGUUAAUGUUAUACUUCCCCAUCAAGUAUAAAAUAAGAUUUUGUGGUAUCCACUAGUUUAAAUAUUUUAAAUUAAAGAUCAAAUUUAUUCAUUACAUUCUUAUAGGGUCGAGGAGUGUAGCUGUAAAAAAUCAUCACAAUCGGAGCUAAAAUAACCAUUAAAUUGUGGUUUUUCAUUUUUAACCGUCGAAAUUUUUUGUUCCGUUACGUAAUCUUUGAAUGCUUGUUUUUUACGUAUGUAAUCUCGGAGUGUGUAUAAAUAAGUUUGACGAUUGGAUCGUUGAAAAAAGUUUCGUAGAAUGCAUAUUGCGUCAAAACAGUAGAUUAAACAAACACUUAAGAGUUAAUAUUAUACUUCUAUUAAGUAUAAAAUAAGAUUUUGUGGUAUCCACUAGUGUAAAUAUUUUAAAUUAAAGAUCAAAUUUAUUCAUUACAUUCUUAUAGGGUAGAGGAGUGUAGCUGUAAAAAAUCAUCAAAAUCAGAGCUAAAAUAAUUGUUAAAUUGUGAUUUUUCGUUUAUAACCAUCGAAAACUUUUGUUCCGUUACGUAAUAUCUGAAUGUUUGUUUUUUACAAUUUUUUACGUAUGUAAUCUUGGAGUGUGUACAAAUAAGUUUGACGGUUUGAUCAGUAGUUUCGGGAUUGGUCAAGUAUGGUACAAACAGUGGUCCCCUAAGUUCCCGAGUGAGGGAAGCUCAUCGGUUGGGGACUUGCAAGAUCCAAGCCAUUGAGUAAUCACGAAACUUCUAAGUACUGAAGUGUGGUAUCAUUUUUACUUACCUUAUCUGUCUCAUACGGUAGAUGUGGUAUCUUCUCUGGAAGUACUUUUCCUCCAUCCAUGGGUGGUAUCUUUAAUCGAUGAAGAUGCACAAGGUAAUGUAUCAAUUUUACUUGAAGCUUACUUGUAGUUUCGGGCUUGGUCAAGUGCGAUACAAAACCCUAUAGUAGGAGUCCCCCAAGUCGCCGAGCUAGGAGAUUUGCCGAAAGAGGUAACAGACAAGGUAAGCAAUCAGACUUCCAAGCAAGCAACCUGGAUCGGAGGUUUGACUUCGGCUUCCGGUUGAUUGUUCUCUUUCUCAUUGUGUCGUAAACAGCAACAAGGAUAAGGAGAAGCAAAUGGAGAAGAGAUGAUAUGAGAUACUUUUGCUUUUGAAGAAGUAACUUUCCACAGGCUUAUUCUUGAAUUGGGCUGGAGGGUUUUCUGGUUUCCUCCAGAGUAUAAGGCCGACUCAAGAAUUUGAGGGUCAAAACAAGUCCAUCAAAUCAAGAGUGCGUUCAACCUUGAUGAUAUGGGAUACUUUUGUUGUUGACGAAGUAAUAAAUGAAUCGGCAUGUGUUCUGUUGUGCUUGUCUCCACAUGCUUCCUUGUAUCCUUCUCACUCGCCCUAUCUGUUCCUCAGACAUAUGUGGUAUCUUUUCUGGAAGCAUAAGAUGUUGAAGAUGAGUACUCGAGAGCAAUGCCAGGUAAGUAAUUAGGCAAGGGGUUCCAGGCAGUCAGUUCCUGACUGGAAGCUUGAUUCCAAGUGCUGACUGAUUGCUCUUUUUCUCCUUGUCUUGCAGGUAAGAAUAAGGGCAAAGGAAAAGACAGGGAGAAAGCAUGAUAUGGGAUACUUUUACUUUUGACCCUGAUGAUAUGAGAUACUCUUGCUCUUGUGUGGCUGGUUUGCAUAGGUAUUAUUAGGAGGGAAGAAAGCUGAGUAUUUUGAGAGGCUUCAUUGGGAGUGCCCUCUCAGAUAUGAGGAAGGGUUGAGCAUUUUUGCAAGUUUGCCUGUCCGUGGAGGAUGGAGGUCGACAUAUAUAGGAGUCUCCCUAACAACAAAUAGUAAUGCUAUUCCUUUACCCUUCUUGGUCGUAGAAAUGUAGUGGGAGCUGCAAGCUUCACGUGUUUUAACUUUAUUAGAGCACUUUGAAAAAGUGUGGUAUCUGGAAAGAUGAUGUUGCGUGUGAAGAUUGCAGACAAGCUUUAUCCAAGGAAAUCUGGCUCUCGAAGUUCGGAGAGCGAUGCCUCUUCGGUUUUCGAACAAGCAAUCUUGUCGGGGAUCUGGCUCUCUAGAUUCGGUGGGCGGUGCCUCUUCGAUUUUUGAGAAAGCAAUCAUGUUGGAAGUCUGGCUCUUGAGAUUCAAAAAGCGGUGCCUCUUCGAUUUUUGAGAAAGUAAUCUUGUUGGGAGUCUGGCUCUCGAGAUUCGGAGGGCGGUGCCUCUUCGAUUUUUUAGCAUGUAAUAAUGCUAUUCCUUUACCCUUCUUGGUCAUAGUAAUGUAGUGAGAGCUGCAAGCUUCACAUGUUUUAACUUUGUCAGAGCGCUUUGAAAAAGUGGUCUGUGGUAUCUGGAAAGCUGAUGUUGCGUGUGAAGAUUGCAGACAAGCUUUAUCCAAGGAAAUCUGGCUCUCGAAGUUUGGAAAGCGGUGCCUCUUCGAUUUUUGAGAAAGCAAUCUUGUUGGGAGUCUGACUCUUGAGAUUCGGAGAGCAGUGUCUCUUCGAUUUUUGAGAAAGUAAUCCUGUUGGGGAUCUGGCUCUCGUGAUUCGGAGGGCGGUGCCUUUUCAAUUUUUGAGCAAGCAAUCUUGUUAGGAGUGUUUUCUCGAAUGUAAGUAAAGGUUGGGCAUUUUUGCCAGUCUGCCUUGCCACGGAGCACGGAGGUUGACACACAUUGAGACUUUCUAGUUAUCAAGCAGUGGUGCUGUUCCUUUACCCUUAUGGGUAAUAGUAGGGUAAUUGGACCUUCAAAAUUUAUGUGUCUAAACUUUGUCAGAGAUCUUUGGCAAAUUUAUCUGUGGUUCCCGAUGAGGUGAUGUUGUGUGUGGAAAGUGGUGUCUCUUCGAAAUCCGGAGAGUGGUGCCUCUUCGAUUUUUGAACCAACGGCCCUGUUGCCCUUUCUUUUAUAAGGGUACCAAUUGUGUGCAAAGAGUACAUUCAGAGAGUUAUUGCUUGUAGGAAUUUUCCCCCUUAAAGAUUUAUUGCACCUCAUUUCUCCUUCAUCAUUUAUGAGAAUGUCUGGCCCAUCCGACCGUCGUUUUGACUUGAACUUUGGUGAAGAGGAAGCCAUGCCUUCUCAAGACAACAUAUGGCGCCCAUCCUUCUUAUCCCCUACUGGUCCUCUUACCGUUGGGGACUCUGUGAUGAAGAAUGAUAUGACCGCUGCGGUGGUGGCCAGGAACCUUCUUACUCCCAAAGAUAACAGACCACUUUCCAAACGGUCUGAUGAGUUGGCUGUUAAGGAUUCUCUGGCUCUCAGUGUUCAGUGUGUAGGUUCUGUGUCUAAUAUGGCCCAACGCCUAUUUGCUCGUACCUGCUAAGUUGAAUCAUUGGCGGCUGAAGUGAUAAGUCUCAAAUAGGAGAUCAGAGGGCUCAAGCAUGAGAAUAAACAGUUGCACAGGCUCGCACAUGGCUAUGCUACAAAUAUGAAGAUGAAGCUCGACCAGCUACAGGAAUCUGAUGGUCCGAUUUUACUUGAUCAUCAGAGGUUUGUGGGUUUGUUCCCAAGGCAUUUAUUACCUUCGUCUUCUGGGGCUGUUCCGCAUAAUGAAGCUCCAAAUGAUCAACCUUCGGUGCCUCCUCCUUCUGGGGUUCUGCCUAGUACUGAGGCUUCGAAUAAUCACCCUCUGGUGUCUCCUCUUUCUAGGGCUCUGCUGACUGCUGAGACUUCUCCUGAGCAACCUUUGUGAAGGCUCCAUCUUGUUUGUUUAUUUUGAUUCAUGUACAUGUACAUAUUUGUAACUUAUCGAAGAUAUCAAUAAGCAAGCUUUGCUUCAUUUCAACGUAUUGUGUUAAAUACACCAAGGCCUUCUUCACUAAGUUCUUUGAAUUUUUCCUUUUGUUGAAGCUUGUAUGUUGAAGCUUUGUGAGUGAAGCAUGUAGGUUGAGGUAGUGCUCCCUUAAUUUCCCGAGUGUGUAAAACUUCUCGUUUGAAGACUUGAAAAAUCCAAGUCACUGAGUGGUCAUGUGACUUCCAAGUAUCAAGGUGCAGUAGCAUAUGGUAAGAGUCCCCCAAAUCUCCGGUCGAGGGAGUUGACGAAUGAGGCAUUUCCUUUCUAAGUGGUAGCCCAAAACUCCUUCUUCAUAUAUUUGUUAUGAAAGCUGUUAGGCCCAAAGAAGAGGAGGCCUAGGCAAUUUUUUUUUUUUGAAUUUUUUUUUUUUUAUUUUUCGAAUUUUCGAAUUUUCGAAUUUUUGAAUUUUCAAAUUUCCGAAUAAAUAGAAUUUUCGAAUUUUCGAAUAUAUAUAUAUAUAUAUUUUAAAGCUUUGUAGGUGAAGUUUUGGUGUUGAAGCUUUGUAGGUGAAGCUUUGAGAUUAAAGUUUUGUUGGGCACCAUGAAUUGAUUUUGCUUCACACUAUCUUGAUCAAGAUAGUGUGAAGCUUUUGUGUUGAAGCUUUGUAGGUGAAGCUUUUGUGGGUCAAGUUUUUAUGGGUCAAGCUUUUGUAUGUGAAGCUUUUGUGGGUGAAGCUUUUAUGGGUGAAGCUUUUGUGGGUGAAGCUUUUGUAGGUGAAGCUUUUGUGGGUGAAGCUUUUGUAAGUUAAGCUUUUGUGGGUCAAACUUUUAUGGGUCAAGCUUUUGUAGGUCAAGCUUUUGUGGGUCAAGCUUUUAUGGGUUAAGCUUUUGUAGAUGAAGUUUUUGUGUUGAAGCUUUUGUAGGUGAAGCUUUGGAGUUGAAGCUUUGUAGGUGAAGCUUUGGAGUUGAAGAUUUUGUUGGGUACCAUGAAUUGAUUUUGCUUCACACUAUCUUGAUCAAGAUAGUGUGAAGCUUUUGAGAAUUUGUAGUUGUCCUCCGUUGAUGAAGCUUUGUUGAAUUUCCCUUUUUUUUCUUUUUUUGGGAAACUAGAAAUUUGAAAAUGUGGGAGUGACAACAUAUACAAAUUUUGCUUCCACACUGUUGAGCAAGAGAUUGUGAUGCAAGCCACACCUUGUAGUAGUCGAAGGUUUGGAUGAACCAUAUAAAUUGAAUUUGCUUCGAAGGUCUGAGAAUUAUAGUUGCCCUCCAUUGAUGAAGCUUUUGUUGGCACCAUAAAUUGGUUUUGCUUCACACUGUCUUGAUCAAGAGUGUGUGAAGCUUUUGAGAAUUAUGGUUGAACUCCUUUGAUGAAGCUUUUGUUGGCACUAUAAAUUGGUUUUGUUUCACAAUGUCUUGAUCAAGAGUGUGUGAAACUUUUGAGAAUUAUGGUUGCCCUCCAUUGAUGAAGCUUUUGUUGGCACCAUAAAUUGGUUUUGCUUCACACCGUCUUGAUCAAGAGUGUGUGAAGCUUUUGAGAAUUGUGGUUUGCCCUUCAUUGAUGAAGCUCUUGUGGGCACCAUAAAUUGGUUUUGCUUUAUACUGUCUUAAUCAAGAGUGUGUGAAGCUUUUGAGAAUUGUGGUUGCCCUUUAUUGAUGAAACUCUUGUUGGCACCGUAAAUUUGUUUUCCUUCACACUGUCUUAAUCAAGAGUGUGUGAAGCUUUUGAGAAUUGUGGUUGCCCUCCAUUGAUGAAGCUUUUGUUGGCACCAUAACUUGGUUUUGCUUCACACUGUCUUGAUCAAGAGUGUGUGAAGCUUUUGAGAAUUGUGGUUGAACUCCUUUGAUGAAGCUCUUAUUGGCACCAUAAAUUGGUUUUGCUUCACACUGUCUUGAUCAAGAGUGUGUGAAGCUUUCUACGAGUUGUAGUGUUACAGAGGGGAAAUGUUUGAAGUAGAUGUAAGAGGGCUGAAUAACUUGACCUUCGUAUGCCAUACACUAAAGUUGUUGUUGGCUUGCAAUAAGACUUUGUUGGUGACUAUAACUCUUGUUGGGCAUAAGUGCUCCCCUAGUUGAGUUGUCAAGCUUGAGGGUUUUUGAUUAUUUGUGAAUGCUAAGAGUUCACAUGUACAAGUUGUACCACUCGUCUUCUGGUAGGUGGAAUGAAUGGUGAGUUACUUUCAUCACUUGGUUGGUGGUACGAAGGUGAGUUCCUUCAUCACCUUUCAUCACAUUUCAUCACCUGGUUGGUGGCACGAGGAUGAGUUCCUUCUUCCCCUGGUUGGUGGCAUGAAUGGCAAGUUGCCAAAUGAUAUUAGAGUACGGAUUGUACAUUUCAUCACCUGUUUGGUGGCAUGAAGAUGAGUUCAUUCUUCACCUGGUUGGUGGCAUGAGUGGCAAGUUGCCAAAUGAUAUUAGAGUACGGGUUGUACAUUUCAUCACUCGGUUGGUGGCAUGAAGAAGAGUACGGGUUGUACAUUUCAUCACCUAGUUGGUGGCAUGAAUGGCAAGUUGCCAAAUGAUAUUAGAGUACGGGUUGUACAUUUCAUCACCCGGUUGGUGGCAUGAAGGAAAGUACGGGUUGUACAUUUCAUCACCUGGUUGGUGGCAUGAAGAUGAGUUCCUUCUUCACCUGGUUAGUGGCAUGAGUGGCAAGUUUCCAAAUGAUAUUAGAGUACAGGUUGUACAUUUCAUCACCUGGUUGGUGGCAUGAAUGAGAGUACGGGUUGUACAUUUCAUCACCUGGUUGGUGGCAUGAAGAUGAGUUCCUUCUUCACCUGGUUGGUGGCAUGAGUGGCAAGUUGCCAAAUGAUAUUAAAGUACGGGUUGUACAUUUCAUCACCUGGUUGGUAAGAAUAAGGGCAAGGUGUCUAGGCACAUUGUAGCAAGUGUCGGAUGACGCAAAAUAUGUUGAACCCUUUCAAAGCAUAGUUAGCUUAUGUAUGAAUGUGUUGGAAUAUAUGAUUGAACGAAUAUACUAUGAAGCUGUUCGUUUAUUUGUAUAGUCUUGUUGACAUAUACUUAGACUUUGUUUCAUGUUGGAAGCAUUCAUGUUGAAGCUUUGAACCCGAGUGUUUCAUUGCUAGGAAUGUAAAAGGAUUAAGAUUGAGUUGUUUGAAUCACCUCUUUAUGGAAUUCAUGCCAAAUAGUCUUCGUUACAUAGGAUGCUGAACAGCUGAAGCUUAACACUUGUACAAUGUGAGUUUACUUGUAAUAGUACUUCAAGUGAUCAGCGUUCCAUGGAUGGCCAAGGGUCUUGCCAUUGGAGCUUCUAAGCUUGUAGGAGCCAGGGCGACUGAUGCCAACAACUUCAAACGGUCCAUCCCAGUUUGGACUAAGUGUUCCUUCACUCGGGACUCUGUCACAGAGUAAUCUUUUCUUCAAUACCCAGUCCCCACUUUGAAAGAACGAGGUUUCACCCUUGAGUCAUAGUAGUUGGAGAUGCGCUGUUUGUAGGCGACAUUCCUCAAGUGAGCCUGGUUUCUGUGUUCCUCGACUAGAUCUAAGUUGAGGGUAAGUUGUUUGUCAUUUUCGCUUUGCACAUAGUUCUGGACUCGGAACGUUGCUUGCUUAAGCGCAACUGGGACAACUGCCUCUGUACCAAAGGCAAGUGAGAACGGGGUUUUUCCUAUUGAUGUCUGAUACGAAGUGCGGUAUGACCAAAGAACUUGGGGUACAAAUUUUGGCCAACAACCUUUAGCCUUGUCUAAGCUGGUUUUCAAAGUUCGCUUGAUUAUUUUGUUGAUGACUUUAACUUGUCCAUUAGACUGAGAAUGAGCUGGGUAGGCAAAACAUAAGUUGAUGUUGAACUUAGAGCAGAACAUCCUGAACUUAUUAUUGUCGAACUGUCGCCUGUUGUCAGUGACUAUCGCAUUGGGAAUGCUGAAUCUGCAAAGGAUGUUCUUCCAUACGAAGUCUUCUAUUUUUGCCUCAGUAAUGGUUGCCAAAAGUUCUACUUCGGCCCACUUUGUGAAGUAGUCAACUGCAAUGAUUGCAUAGCGAACCUUGCCCUUCCCUGCAAGCAUUGGGCCGAUCAAAUCAAGUCCGCAUUGGGCGAAGGGCCAAGGGUUGAUCAUACGAGUUAACGGCUCGGGAGGGGAGUAAGGAAUAGUUGCGUAACGUUGACACUUAUCACAUGAGCGGGAUAUUCUGAUGGCAUCUUGGUGGAGUGUUGGCCAGUAAUAUCUUGGCGAAAAGCCUUGUGUGCUAGGGAUCGAGAUCUAGCAUGAUCUCUGCAGACUCCUUCAUGUAUUUCCCGAAGGACAAUUUCUGCCUUUGCGGGCAUAAGGCAUUUUAGGUAUCGAACCCGCCAAGUUGAAUCAGUAAGGCUCUAGAUGUCUUUUGAAGUUACCGGUUCCUUCAUGUCGAUGAUUACUUUGAUCUUCUCAGGAUUAGCCUCAAUGCCUCGUUGGCUUAUCAUGAAGCCUAAGAAUUUGCCAGAGCCUACGCCGAAGGCACAUUUGUUGGGGUUCAACCUUAUUCGAUACCUCUUUAGAAUGGUGAAAGUUUCAGAUAAGUUGGUGAUGUGUUGGUCAGCAUGUUUGCUCUUGACUAGCAUAUCAUCAACGUAAACUUCCAUGCUCUUCCCAAUCUGGUCGGCGAACAUUGAAUUGACCAGUCUCUGAUAAGUCGCUCCUGCAUUAUUUAGGCCGAAGGGCAUGACUUUAUAGAAAUAUAGUCCCCUGUCAGUAGUGAAGGCUGUGUGUUCUUGGUCCGGAGGGUUCAUGAGGAUUUGGUUGUAUCCUGAGUAAGCAUCCAUGAAGCUCAAGAGUUCACACCCUGCCGUAGAGUCUAUAAGUUUGUUUAUGAGAGGAAGAGGAAAGUUAUCAUUCGGGCAUCCUUUGUUUAAGUCGGUGUAAUCAACACACAUUCUCCACAAGACCUUUUGGAGUAGGAGAUUUUCCUUGGUCGGAUUCUUCUUAACAAGGACAACAUUUGCUACCCACGUUGGAUAAUUGACUUCGCGGACAAAGCCUAUGCCUUUGAGUUUUUCAGCUUCUGCCUUGCCUCGUACCGUUCAGCAUCAUAAGAUCUUUGCUUCUGUCUCAUUGGCUUGGUCUUGGGGUCAAUACUUAAGUGAUGACAAAUUAUAUCAGGAGAGAUGCCUGACAUGUCCUCGUAUGACCAGGCGAAGACCUUAGUGUUCUCUUGCAAAAAAAGAGAUCAAUGCCAACCGAAUGAGUGGUGACAAGGUGGUACCAAUCUUCACCAUGCGAUCCGGAUAAUCUUUUGAGAUAGAGACUUUUUCCAACUCUUCAGCGGGUUGUGCUUGUUGGGUGAAGAGUCAUCUCGAGGAUCGUCGGGUUGACUGUUGCCACCGUGAAGAUCCAAGUUGGCUUCAUCUAGGCUGGUCUUUAUGACUUGGUCAUGUAUAGAAAGGGUUUCCUUGGGCACAUGCAGAUGCUGUUGCUUGACCGAAGUGUUGUAACAUGAUCGUGCACUAAGUUAAUCUCCUCUGAUGUAACCAUUGCCAUAAAGGGUUGGAAAUUUCAUCAACAACAUAUGUGUGGAUACCACGGCCUUGAAAUCAUUGAUGCAUGUGCGUCCGAAGAUAACAUUGUAUGCCGUUGGGCAAUCAACCACCAGAAAGUUAGUGGUAAUGGUAGGUGUGUAAGGGCAUGUACCAAUGGUGAAAGGUAAGUGUAUGCUCCCCAAAAGUUGCACGAUAUCGCUGCAGAAGCUUAUCGGAGGGGAAAUCGAGCGGUCGAGCAAGUGUUCAACUACAUUAAGUGCCCUGAAAACUUCAGCAAACAUGGUAUUGACCGAAGCCCCCGUGUCUACCAGGAUUCGUCGUACUUCAAAGUUGGCUAUAUGAGCUUCCACGAUCAGUGGGUCGUCGUGAGGGUAGAUGAUACCUCUUUAUUUCUCAGGGUAGAAACAUAUUGCAUCCCAGUUAGGCUUUUGAUACUUACCUCCCCUGAUGUCUUCCACGUGAAACACCUGGUGGCCAGACCUUAAAGCACGUUCACUAUUUUUCAUGGCCCUUUUGGAAGAUUUAGAUAUGGGUGUGCCACCACUUAUGGAAUAUAUCACAUUUACCUGGCGUUGGUUACGGUUACCCCUUGGAGGGUGAAGGAGGAAUUGAUCAAUUUUUCCUUCACGUGCCAAAGCUUUAAUAUGAUCACGAAGGGUGAUACACUUCUCGCCGUCAUGGCCGUUAUGCUCGUGGUAGCAGCAAAAUGUGCCCAUGUUCUUCGUGAGCUUGUAAUCCGGGUGCCUCGGCUUUAGCUUCGGUAUCAAGUGUGCUAUGCUGGGGUAAAUGGCCACGCAUGUGGCGUUCAAAGGUGUGUAUGCCUCAUACCUCGGGGUAGGGGUUGUCCUGACACGUGCUUGACCCACUGUGUUAACUGCUUGGGGUCGGGGAUUAUCAUGGCGAUACCCUUGGUUAUUGCAGUAGUAAGGAUGAAAAUCUUUCCUUUUGCCCUGAGGUUGAUAUGUCUGUUGACUUGGCAAAGUAUUAAGUAAGGCAGGGGGAGGCACCGCUGCCGUUUGGAAGGUCGAGGUCUUCUCAUUUGGUUGGAUCUGGCUUCCACUCCCUGCUUGCUGAUAAGGGGUGGUUGUGGGGGGUUUCCCUUGAUAUGUCAUUGCCUCGGUGGAGGCAUGGUUGUAAGCAUGUGCCAUCACCUCAAAGUAAGUCUUCCAAGUGUUAGCAUUGAUCAUGUACUUGAAGAAACAAUCACGUAGGCCUGCCGUGAAAGCCUUGAGGGCGGUCUUGUCAUCUGCCUCAGCGCAGCGAGACUACUCAUGGCUGAAACGACCAGCAUACUCUCGAAGUGACUCGUCCAGCUUCUGGCGAAUUGUGUACAAGUCAUCUGCAGAAUGCAAACGAUCGGUCUAGAAGAUGUGUUGAGAGACAAACAGUUUCCUCAGUUCCUCAAAUGAGUCUACUGUCUCAAGUGGAAGACGGCAAUACCAGUUCAGAGCUCCGCCAGAGAGGGUGGAGGGGAAGAGAAGACAUCGCUCUUCGUCGAUGUGCAUCUGAUAUGCCAUGGUGGACUCAAAGAGGUUAAGGUGUUCAAUUGGGUCCUCCUUUCCAGUAUAUAGUUGUAAACUAAGCUUUUGAUUUGUCUUCGCUUGAAGGGGGUGUCAAGGAUCCUCCUUGUGAGAGGGCCAGGCCUGGGUUGGUUCCAGUCAGGUAUCUCGGCCUGACGUUCGACCUUCAACUUGUUUACUUCCUCAAUGAGCUGUAGGACAAAGGGGUCUUGAGUGGAGUCAUGUACCACUGGGAUUUUCUUUCGUAAGUCUCCAUCGCCUCUUGGAAGUAGGAAAGUUUGAGCAAAGGCGUGUGAUUUUUCCUUGGACUCGCCGUACUGACUUCUAGUGCGAGUCUGUCGAAAUACCUCAGAGUCCUCUGUACCUUCAUGUUCCUCUAGGACAUGUCGUUCCUUCCCUAGAUUGGUAGCUGGCCUGGGUCGUGAGAGGGGACCGAGCCUUUCAAAAAUCCUUGGGUAAUUGAUCUUCGAGUAUAUGUGAAGGGGAUUCUCUCGACGUUGCUUUAGGAAGUCUCGACAGUCACGAUAAACGGCUUUCGAGCCUUCCAACCCUUCUGCAAGGAGGUGUCUUCCUCCAUUUCUCCUGCUUCGGGUCGAAAUAGCUAGGUUGAGAAAAGUCUCAUGUUGAUCAAUGUUUUUAUGAUUAGCUCGCUCCUCAUCAGGGAUACCCAUGUCGAAUGAAGGUGACCCUCCGUGUUGGGAGGCACCCAGAUGAUGGUUGAUGUCUACAGUGGCAACAAGCUUGUGUGUUUGAGUAUGUAUAGUUUCGUGGAGCGUCUCAAAGAGCUUCUCAUACUGCUCCUGGAAGACCUCAUUCUUCAUUGCUAUCUUGUUGUUUUGAGCUUCUAGCUCAUCGACUUUAGCUUGAAGAGCAACCUUCUUUCCUUCCUUCUUUCGUUGUUUCGCACUAAGUGUAAGAGGGGUGUCAUUCUGUGUGUUGUGGCUUCCUUCGUUCCCCAUGUUGGAGAGGGAUGCCUGGUCAAAAGAGAGUGUACGAAUGGUGGAAACCAGCUUGACAAAGCUGAAGAGAGUGGGAAUAAGUGUCGUUCCCACAGAUGGCGCCAAAUGUUGAUGCACAAAAUCAGUGAGGACUUUGUUACAACAGAAAGUGUUAAGUUUGUGACCUUCGCUAGAUUGCUUCGGUUAGUAGUGUGGAUAAGUAUGUAAAUGAAUAGGGACAGGGAAGCAAACACAAGAUGUACGUGGUUCACCCAGAUUGGCUACAUCCACGGAGUAGAGGAGUUGUCAUUAAUUGUGAAGGGUUUACACCAGUAUAUAGGUUCAAGCUCUCCUUUAGUGAGUACUAGUGAAUGAUUUAGUACAAAUGACAUUAGAAAAUAUUGUGAGAGAAUAAUCUCUAUUUAUAGAAGAGAGUUUCUAGUUUCAAAUGACAUUGAUACGUGUCGUGUUGUGAUUGGCUUCUGAUGUUGACACGUGUUGCGCUAUGAUUAGCUUCUGAUGUCGACACGUGUCGUGCUGUGAUUAGCCUCCUGGUUGUAGGGAAACUCUUCUGGGUCCUUGAGGUAUAACGUUGACCAGUGCUCAGUAGUUUCGGGAUUGGUCAAGUAUGGUACAAACAGAGCUUUUGGACUAAAUUUGACAUAUUAUGCUUUUGAGCUAAAAUUCAACCUUUUAUAUUGAAAAUUUAGGCUUUUGGGCAGGCUGCCAAUCUGCAGCCCAAUCUGUUGUUGGACUAAAAUUUGAAUCUGUGCACAAAUCUGCCAAUAUGAAUCUGCCAAUCUGAAUUUGUGCAAUCUGCCAAUCUAAAUAUGUGCACAAAUCUGUGCACAAUAGCAUCUGUGAUCUGCCUAUUCAAUUUCUACUACACAUGCAUGCAAUAAAAAUAAAUUAAGUAACAAAUCCAAAAGCAAAAAAAAUUAGUUACAAGCCAAGGUUUUAAAAUAAAUAAAGUAACAAAUCAUAUUCCUCUCCAAAUGCUUCCUAAUUGAAACUGCCUUCUUGAUAAGAUGGUACAGAUCCUCAGGAAUUUCAAGAGCAAGAGCUAACCAACAACGAACAAUAUUAUGUAUCGUCUACAUAAGUAGGCUAUUAUUUGGUCAGUGCCAAGGAAACUGAAAAGGACAGUACAACGGGCCUAAUUGAUAAUCAUAAAGAACUCCUAAUCUUCUUCAUUUUUUCACAGAACAUAAAAAACUAGAGAAUCUUACAUACAAUUACAAACAAAAUACAAUUUUUUUAACUAUUCAUGACCAAAGGUGGGAUUGUGUAACUAAUAGUAUCCGUGCAGCAAGCAACAAGAAAAUCUUGCAUACAACUAGAAAUAUAUACCUUCUUCCUAUCUUCUUCACGCUCAUUAAGUUAGUAGGACGAUGGCAAUGUAAAAUGGAUGCAUUACUAGGAUGACUCACUGCAGUAAAGAGAAUUUGUUAUUUUCUACUUCAAACUUCAAAGUACUCAACAUAAACUACUCAAACCGACGAUCGAAACCACGAUUUCAAUGUCACCAAUGCCCUAAAGAAUUUCAAGCCCCUUACUCCUCCUAAACAAAACUAAUUUGACCUACUUAGCAGCAAUUCAUGACAUUGACCAGAGCAAUUCUGUUUUAAUUGCAAAUAAUAGUUGAAUAAAAUGCUCAUAAAUCACCUUCUGCGAGUUGGUUUUACAAGGAACAAAGAAAACGUUUUACAAGGAACAAAGAAACAAAAGUAAAAUUCUAAAUAUAACCUCUCCGUCGCUUCAAAUUCCCUCCCCCCUUUUAGAAAACAUUUAAGUUAGGCUCCCUCCCCCCUUUAACCUCUCAUUCCCUCUAUAACUUCUCCGUCGAUUCAAAAUCCCUAAUUCCAAAAGCCCUAAUUUCAGAAAUUCCUAAUUCAGAAACCCAAAUUCAAAAUCCCUAAUCGAAUUUGGAAUCAAACAAUUUGUAUGAACUUUGGUUGAGUUUAUUACAAGAAUUUCUUACCUUUUGCAGUGAGGAGGAGUGCGGACUGAGAUCGAGAGCUCGAUUUAGGAGUCGGGUUCGGGUGGUAUGGACAGUGGGUGAAGGUGCGAUUCAGGUGAGGAGUGAGGACUAAAAGGAAUGAGGACUGGUGUGGGUAGAUUCGGGAUUUAGGCGACGAAUGUGGGAGGCGAGACAAAUCGCAGAUCGGCAAAGAGAGUGGUACUGAGGUGAGGUGAGGUUUUGACUUUGAGUCUAAGGAGGUGAGCGUCGAGAGACCGAGAGAGAAAGUCAAAGGCUAGGUUGAUAACUUUGAUUUAUAUUCAACGGUUGAGAUUAAAUCUUAACAGAAUCCAGCGGUUAUUAAAAUUCUAAAUAUAUAUUUAAAAAUUAAAUAAUAUAUAUAUAUUUUCGGUUCAGUUUGGGAUUACCGAAAUCCCAAAAACUUGAGACCGAUUCCUGUACCGAAAUUUCGGGAUCGGUUCCGUAUUUGGUAACGAAAUUUUCUGGAAUUUUGGUUUGGGAUUUUUUUGGUUUGGUUUGGGAUUUUUGGGAUUUGUUUCCAGCCCUAGGUAGAUUAGUCUACCUACAAGUGAUAGGAGCAUAUUUAUGCGCCUUAGUUAGCUAGUUCUUAUGCAUGUUUGUUAUGUUUUCUUAGUUUAAAGUAGUCUUUUAAGCUAGUUUCAUGUGUUUUCAGGUUUUAAGGGCAUAUUACAUAAAAUGAUGUAAUUUGGAGCCUUUUGGAGCAAAAUGGAGCUUGGAAUGGAAGUCACAUACUUGGAGCCAAGGGAAUGGACGAGAAUGAAGAUUUGAAGAUUUGAGGAUUCCUAAUUAAAGAAGGAUUCCUAAUCAACGGAGGAGUCCUAGCUAAGGAUGGAUUCGUAGUCAAAGAUGGAUUCCUAGAAGGAUGAGGAUUCCUACUCAAGCAAGGUUUCCUACUUGACGAAGGAGAAUUAAAGUCAAAGAAUCAGCUCAAGUGAAGAAAUCUUAUCCAAAACAUCAUCCAUAACCUUAUCUUAUCCAAACAAACCUUAUCCUAUCCUAUCUUAUCCAAAUCUGAAUCCAUUGAUACUUUAGCUGAGAAGGGGGGUUCAUAACUAGAUUAGAAUGCUUAAAACUAGAUUUCUAGAAGCCCUAUCCCUGCACAUAUAAGGUGCCGCACCUAUCCCCUUUCUAGAACUUGUUUUCCUUGCCUUGCAAGGCAUUCUAGAAGGCCUAUCCAUAUCCUAUAAUUCCUGCCGCACCUUGGUGAACCUUUUCCCUUGUGGAUUCUGGUUUCUAAGCCUAAUUCCUUGUGGAUUUGGGUUAUUCAAGUCCAUAUCUGAUUCCCCUAGGGUUUUAAGUGCCUAUAUAUACUCAUAUAAACCCCUAGAUCAGAUCACCACCUCUCAUACACAACCAUUCACGCCAUAAUUCAAUCCUUGAUUUCUGCCGCACCUUUCCAUCACCAUAGUCCCUAAUUUUUGCCCAAAAUCAUCCCUAGCCAUAUCCCCCAUCAACCCUAAAUACCAUCACCCAUUCCCCAUCCAUUCUCCACCAUUUAAAGAACCUAAAGAACCUGUCCAAAGUCCAAGUGUCGUGGCAAAGAGAAGGAGGAACCUUGGAACGUGCAUGCCAUUCAAGUCCGAGUUGCUGGGAGUUUUAGGUGUUUCCUUUCCUUUGAUUUCAAUGUUUAAAUUCUAUACUCUUUGUUUCGUACGUAUGAGGAACUAAACCCCCCUUGGCUAGGGGGGAUUCGAAACCAUGAUUAUGCUUGCUAUAUGAUUUGAUUACUUCUAAUUGCGUUUCAUAAGUUGUGGAUUCAAUUUAUUUAUCUAUAUGAAUUAAAACUGAUUUGUGUAUGUUGGUUGAGAGUGCACGCUUAAUUUUCAUGCAUAAGUUUGAUGCUAGAAUGUAAAGGAGUUUCACCUAAUAGUUAUGAACUUAUAUUCAUAAGUAGUAAAAGUUGUUGAUCACAAUUGCGUUAAGUGAAUUCUUGGCAUAAGUUUCAUGCGCUUUCAUAGUUACGAGUGCCUCGUCAAUGCUUAUGACUUCCAUUGAACGUAAUGAUCUUUGAUUGUAUCUCUAUUAUGCGCUUUCAUGUAGGGAGCUUUUGAGGAAUAAUUUGGUUGCGAUGCGCCUUUUCCGUCCAAUUCAUUGAUAUAAGGGAAAUCUGAAAGUUAAUUUAAGCGGACCUAAAUAACUUGGAGUGUUGAGUAUUCAUGGUUUAUUGAAUUGCAAUUAGAAAUCGUUUUGUAUGCGAGUAUAACAAGAACCCUUUAGCUAGCUUUCCAUCCAUUCUCUUUCACCAAAUUCGUUUUAAAAUCUACUCUAGUUUACAAGUUUUGUUUUGUUUUUAAUUCGUCCAAAAUCAAUCCCCCUUUAUUUUGUUGAGUCAUAGUAGUUAGAAAUCACUUUAGUUUGUGUUUUUUAAGUGUCUUAAGUCAAGUUAAAACCAAUUUUCGUCCAAGUUGUGUUUAUUGUUCAAAACUGCCCAGAUUGUGGUUUUAAGGCAGUUUUGAGUGUUUCUGGGCUGUUUUGAGUCUUUAGGUUUGUUUUAGUGUUUUAGAGUUUAGUUUUGCUUUCUUUGAGUCUAGUUUAGUGUUUUAAACUUGUUUUGACGUAUUUGAGUCAGUUUUCAAGUGAUUUAGCAAUCCCUCCUAAUCCCCGGUCUAGAACAAUCCCUACUUACAUACUUUGCUACAAUUGAUAAAAAGAGGGUUUAAUUUGAGUGCUAGUUAAUAUCAUAUCAACAAGCCGUCUUUAUGGAGAUGCAUCAUUGAGUAGCUUCUUUUCCAUUUGUGUUAGAGAGAUGUUUUGAUCAACCAAAAAUCGUGAAGGUUUAGCGCCUAAGAACCCAACAUCAUCCAAUAUGUCUAAUGCAUAUUUCUCUUGGCAUAGAGUGAUCCCACAUUUUGAUCGUGCAACCUCUAUCCCUAAGAAAUAUUUGAGCUUACCCAAGUCCUUUAGUUUAAAAUGUUUAGAAAUGAACUGCUUAGUCUCUUCGAUUUCUUGCAAAUUAUUGCCUGCUAGUAUACAUCAUCACCAUAAACCAACAAGGCAAUAAAAUUACCUUGAUGCCUUUGGACAAACAGUGAGUAGUCAGACUAUGACUAGUGAAACCCAGCAGCCUUGAAUGCAUUGGAUAGUUUAAGAAACCAUUGCCACGAAGCUUGUUUUAAACCGUAUAGGGAUUUGUUUAAUUUAUGUACUCGAGUCUCCCCCUUUCUUCCGAAUCCAGGAGGCAAGGUCAUGUAAACUUCCUCGUCUAGGUCACCAUGUAAAAAGGCAUUGGUGAUGUCUAGUUGAUGCAAGUGUCAUCCUCGCAAAGCUGCCACACUAAGAAGCACACAGACAAUGGUCAAUUUGGCAACGAGGGCAAAAGUUUCCCUGUAAUCAACCCCUUCUAUCUGGCUAUAACCAUUCGCAACCAGCUGUGCUUUGUACCUCUCUAUUGUCCCAUCGGGUUUUAGCUUCACUUUAUAGACUCAUUUGCAUCCAAUGGGUUGUUUGUGGAGUGGCAACAUCAUAAGAAUCCAAGUGUGAUUUGCCUGAAGAGCUACAAUCUUAUGUUGCAUGGCAGCAUGCCAAUGUAGGUCUCAAACAGCCUGCUAAAAGCUUGUGGGUCGUGAGGUUAGCUGUAUAGGUUUUAUGGUAGGGUGAAAGACGAGUAUACGAUAAAUGGUGAGAUAGUGAAUGAGAGGUACCUGAUGACUUAACCACGUUUGUUGAAGAUGUCGAAGCAAGCCUUGAUGGGAGAGAGGUCUCGACGUGAAAGUCCUACAAAAAUGAGGAAAGCUUUGUGGGACGUGUACCACGGCGGGGUGGUAAAGGUGUAGGUGCAGGGAUGGGUGGGGUGUUGGUGGGUGCUAAGGAAAUAAAAGUGGUAAGUGGUGUUUCUGGAGAAGGCAAGAUCAUGUUCAGUAUUUAUAACGGUGAUAAAGGUGGUUGUGAUAUUUCUGGUGUUUGUGGGGUGUCAUGGGAUUCAAAAAAUAAAUUGUCAGAUGUGAUGACUUGAGGAAUGGUGGGAGGGAAAGAACUUUUGUCAUGGGGCGUUCAUUUGUGUAGUGUAAUAGAGAAGAGUGUCAUGACUGGAUGAUGAAAGAUUAUUUCAUCGAACGUCCAAGAUAUCCUCCUCAUGAUUUUCGAAGGCGGUGUCAGAUGAUGAGAGAACUUUUCGAAAGCAUAUUAAUACAAACGACAAUUAAUAAACCACAUAAACUUAAUACAAUCGAUAAUUAAUAAACUACAUAAACUUAAUAAUGAUAUCCACCAUCUUGAAUUGGUGGUGGACUUGGGAUAUAGCCUUAAGAUGAAUCAUCAUCUUGAAAGAUAUUCCUUGUGGCAUGCCUUCGCAAAAUUUCUUUUUGCUUAUCACGUAAGAACUUUUUCCCUUCUAAAGUGUAUUUGUUGAGGUCCUCCAUCAUGGGAUUACAUUCGAACCUUCUUUGUUCCCUAUUCCCUUCCUUCAUAAAGGCCAAUUCAUUCGAGCCGCUUCUUCCUCCCGAGAGCUAUGGCUUUUGGUCAAUCUUGCAAAUCCGGUAGAAAUUUGUGCACUAAUCGAAUCUUCGAACUUCCCUUUUCUCUUUGCUUCCUUUUACUUAUCUCUUCUUGGAAACCUUACAAAAGAAGGAGUUAGGGUCAACGAAUCAACACCUUCAUUUACAAUCCUUGAGAACGUUCCAAGCAUGAUGCAAUUUAAAAACUUGAUUUUUUGGUGUAGUUCUUAUCAUGUAAUUUGCCAUUUCUUUGUCACCCUAUGCAAGAAAUACAUAAAAACAAUUAGUUGCAAAAUAAUAUUAUGUACAUGAUAAAUAAGAUAUCAACAAAGAAACUCACAACUUCUGCGGCACUCCUUCCACUAGUUAUGUCAACCAUGGCUCUCUCCAAGCUUCUCUUCCAUAAAUUGCACGCUUUGUUGAUAACCUUCCACCGAUCAUAAAUGCCACCACCUUCCCUUCGGUUAGCGUUGGAGUUUUCAUUGAACUUAUCAACGAUUUACCCCACAAAACCUUUUUAUUUUUAUUUGUACUAACGGCACUAUCUUCGCUAAUAGAAACUCAUGUCAAGCAUAAAGCAACAUCUUCCUUAAAGGUCCAAUUACGACCUCUAAUAUGAUCAUUUGCCAUCUUGAAAAUUUUGGAAAUGGAAAGAAAUGGUAGAAAGAAAAAUUGGAAGAAUUGUAGGAGAAAAGUGAGUUUUGUGUGAAUGUUUGAACAAAUACAUAGGUAUUUAUAGAGUUUUUCGAUGAAUUUUGAGUUCAAUAAUUUUUUUUAGGCUUUUAGCCAAAAUGGUCCCUGAGAUUUGCAUAACACAUAACUUUGGUCCCUGAGUUUGUCCACCAUCCAUUAUUUUGGUCCUUCCGUUAAAAACUCUAUUAAGUGUCUCGAAGCUCUUGGCCGGAAGUUUGGGCAAUUUUCAAAGCUUCGUAACUCAAUCGUUUCUUAACCAAAUUCGACCCAUAAUAUAUCAAAAUAAAGAUAGGAAAGUGUAGAACAAGAUUGGAAGCCCAAUGGUUGCCAGAGAUGGCCGGAAAAUAGCCUGAAAAGUGACUAGUCCACGACAAAAACUGGAAAACUCACCGGAAACUGGGUAAACUUUAAACAUUCAUAACUUCUUCAAUACGCAACAAAAUUGAGUGACUCAAAAAUAAAAAUCAUACUUCUCGACGAGGCGAAGAGAAUGGUACCUUUAUCGAUGGCUAAAUCGCCGUGGUUUGGUUGGAAAAUGGUUCGAAAAUGGCUAACUUGAGACCAAGAUAGCCACUUUCGAGCCGUUUUUCUGGCCAAAACAUGAUGAUUUAGCCAUCAAUAAAUGUUCCAUUCUAUUGGUCUCGUCGAGAAGUAUGAUUUUUAUUUUUGAAUCACUCGAUUUCGUUGAGUAUUGAAGAAGUUAUGAACGUGUAAAGUUUACCUAGUUUCCAGCGAGUUUUCCAAUUUUCCCAAGGACCAGUCACAUUUCGGACUAUUUUCCGGCCAUCUCUGGCAACAUUGGGCUUCCAAAUAGGUAUAAUCUUGUUCUACACUUUUCUAUCUUCAUUUUGAUAUAUUAUGGGUCAAAUUUGGUCGAAUUUGGCCAAGAGCUCCAGGACACUUAACGAAGUUUUUAAUGAAAUGACCAAAAUAAUGGAUGGUGGACAAUCUCAGGGACGAUUUCUAUUGAUUUUCAAUCUCAAGGACCAAAGUGAUGUGUUAAGCAAAUCUCAGGGACCAUUUUGGCUAAAAAGCAUUCUUUUUAAUUAUUUUAGCCCUUGGAUUUAAAUUUGGGCCGUUAGAAUUUUUUUUACCGUUAGAUUUGAUUAUAUUCAAUCUCAGUUGUUGGAUUCAACAAAUAUAUAAAUAUAAAACUAAAAAAAAUUGAUCCAAAGGCCCAAUUGAUUCAAGCCCUUCGAUAAAAAAAGUAGCUGUUACCUACUGACGCAAGUGGCCGACAUGCCCAUGUGGGUAGGGCCAUGUCAUUGCCUGCCCUUGGCGCGUCGCUUGCAUGUGAGUGUCCGACCUUUGCGUCUGGCAUUCAAGCGCCCAUUUCCACUCUCACUGGUGGACCCCACACAUUUCUUUCGGCUAUUUCUUGGAUGCAAAGGUUGGAUGCUCACACGCAAGUGACGCGCCAAGGGCAGGCAACGGCAUGGCCCCACCGACAUGGGCAUGUCAGCCACUUGUGUCAGCAGGUAACAUCUACUUUUUUAUCGAACGCCUUGAAUCAAUUGGGCCUUUGGAUCAAUUUUUUUUUCAGUUUUAUAUUUAUAUAUUUAUUGAAUCCAAUAGUUGAGAUCGAAUAUAAUCAAAUCUAACAGUAAAAAAAAAAAUCUAACCGCCCAAAUUUAAAUCCAAAUGCUAAAAUAAUUAAAAAGAAUGCUUUUUAGCCAAAAUGGUCCCUAAUAUUUGCAUAACACAUCACUUUGGUCCCUGAGAUUGAAAAUCAAUAGAAAUGGUCCUUGAGAUUGUCCACAAUCCAUUAUUUUGGUUAUUUCGUUAAAAAUGUCAUGAAGUAUCUUGGAGCUCUUGGCCAAAUUUGACCCAUAAUAUAUCAAAAUGAAGAUAGGAAAGUGUAGAACAAGAUUAUACCUAUUUGGAAGCCCAAAGCCACUUUCAAGCCAUUUUUCGACCAAAUCACGGCGAUUUAGCCAUCGAUAAAGGUACCAUUCUCUUCGUCUCAUCGAGAAGUAUGAUUUUUAUUUUUGAAUCACUCUAUUUCGUUGAGUAUUCAAGAAGUUAUGAAUGUUUAAAGUUUACCCCAUUCCAGGUGAGUUUUCUAGUUUUGCCACGGACCAGUCACCUUUCAGGUUAUUUUCUUGCCAUCUCCGGCAACCAUUGGGCUUCCAAUAGUCAUAAUCUUGUUCUAGUCUUUCCUAUCUUUAUUUUGAUAUAUUAUGGGUCGAAUUUGGUUAAGAAACGAUUGAGUUACGAAGCUUUGAAAAUUGCCCAAACUUCCGAACAAGAGCUCCGGGACACUUAACAGAGUUUUCAACGGAAUGACCAAAAUAAUGGAUAGUGGACAAACUCAGGGACAAUUUCUAUUGAUUUUCAAUCUCAAGGACCAAAGUGAUGUGUUAAGCAAAUCUCAGGGACCAUUUUUGCUAAAAGCCUAAAAAAAAUUAUUUAACUCAAAAUUCACCCAAAAACUCUAUAAAUACCUAUGUAUUUGUUCAAACAUUCACACAAAACUAACUUUUCUCCUACAAUUCUUCCAAUUUUUCUUUCUACCAUUUCUUUCCAUUUCCAAAAUUUUCAAGAUGGCAAAAGAUCAUAUUAGAGAUCGUAAUUGGACCCUUAAGGAAGAUGUUGCUUUAUGCUUGGCAUGAGUUUCUAUUAGCGAAGAUAGUGUCGUUAGCACGAAUCAAAAUAAAAAGGUUUUGUAGGGUAAAUCGUUGAUAAGUUCAAUGAAAACUCCAACGUUGGCCGAAGGGAAGGUGGUGGCGUUUACGAUCGGUGGAAGGUUAUCAACAAAGCGUGCACUUUAUGGAAGAGAAGCUUGGAGAGAGCCGUGGUUGACAUGGCUAGUGGAAGGAGUGUUGCAGAAGUUGUAAGUUUCUUUGUUGAUAUUUUAUUUAUCAUGUACAUAAUAUUAUUUUGCAACUAAUUGUUUUUAUGUAUUUCUUGCAUAGGGUGACAAAGAAAUGGCAAUUUACAAGAUAAGAACUACACCAAAAAAUCAAGCUUUUAAGUUACAUCAUGCUUGGAACGUUCUCAAGGAUUGUCCGAGGUGGGGAACCGAUGCGGACCAACAAUGGAGAAAAUUAUUUGGUAGUGAAGUCGCACGGACAAAUUAUGUCAAUGAAGGUGUUGAUUCGUUGACCCUAACUCCUUCUUUUGUAAGGUUUCCAAGAAGAGAUAAGCAAAAGGAAGCAAAGAGAAAAGGGAAGUUCGAAGAUCUUAUUAGUGCACAAAUUUCUACCGGAUUUGCAAGAUUGACCAAAAGCCAUAGCUCUCGGGAGGAAGAAGCGGCUGGAAUGAAUUGGCCUUUACGAAGGAAGGGAAUAGGGAACAAAAAAGGUUCGAAUGUAAUUUCAUGAUGGAGGACCUCAACAAAUACACUCUAGAGGGGAAGAAGUUCUUACGUGAUAAGCAAAAAGAAAUUUUGCGAAGGCAUGCCAUAAGGAAUAUCUUUCAAGAUGAUGAUUCAUCUCAAGGCUAUAUCCCAAGUCCACCACCAAGUCAAGAUGGUGGAUAUCAUUAUUAAGUUUAUGUAGUUUAUUAAUUAUCAAUUGUAUUAAGUUUAUGUGGUUUAUUAAUUGUCGUUUGUAUUAAUAUGCUUUCGAAAAGCUCUCUUCUCAUCCGAUACCGCCUUCGAAAAUCAUAAGGAGGAUAUAUCGGACGUUCGAUGAAAUAAUUUUUCAUCAUCCAAUCAUGACACUCUUCUCUAUUACGCUACACAAAUGAACGCCCUAUGACAGAAGCAGAGCUGUCUCUGAGAUUUUGGGGGCCCUAUGCGAAAUUUAUAAAAGCACCCCUCCUUAAGAUAAGUCUUAAAAAAUGUAGGACAAUGUAUUGACGCUAGAAAACAAUCACUUAAAUCAAAACAAAGUUUAGCACUCACUUAAUGCAACUUUAAAAAUGUCAUUAAUAAUAAGUAAAAAGAGCUACAAACAUAACGUUCACUAAAUAAUCAAAAGCAGUUCAAUCUUAAACAACCAAACAAGAAAACAAACUUCAAAAACUCUAACUUUAAAGUUUCACUUGAAUAUGUAACAUUAUUAUAUAAUAAUAUUGAAAAAAUACCGUCUUAAUGGUGUAUUAUUGGCACUCGAAAUAUCUUAUUGUACUCUAAUUUUUUGUAUUUAAAAAGAAAAAAAAUUACGCUUAUAAGGAGUGUAAGAUGAGAUUUUAAAGUGCUAACAAAAUCAAUUUUUGAAUAUAAAACAUUAUUUCAUAACAAAAGUAAUUUUAAAUAUAGAAUAUUAUUAAAUAUAAAUAUUAGGUGACAAAAAUUUGGGGGCCCCUUCAAAUUUGGGGCCCUAUGCGACUGCACCUUUCGCACCCCCUCAACGCCCCCUCUGACUCCUUCCCUCCCACCAUUCCUCAAGUCAUCACAUCUGACAACUUAUCUUUUGAAUCCCAUGACACCCGACAAACACCAGAAAUAUCACAGCCACCUUUAUCAUCGUCGUAAAUACCAAACAGGAUCUUGCCUUCUUCAGAAACACCACCUACUGCUCUUAUUUCCCUAGUACCCACCAACACCCCGCCCAGGCCUGUAGCUACACCUUUACCACCCCACCGCGGCAUACGUCCCACAAAGCUAUCCUCCUUUUUGUAGGACUUUCACGUCGAGACCUUUCUCCCCUCAAGGCCUACUCCGACAUCUUCAAUGUACGUGGUUAAGUCAUCAGGUACCUCUCAUCCACUCUCUCACCACUUAUCGUAUACUCGUCUUUCACCCCACCAUAAAACCCAUGCACCUUUCGCACCCCUUCAACGCCCCCUCUGGACAGAACCAUAAUAGCUAGAUUCGGCAUGGUGCUCAUAUUGUAUAAGUGAGUUUGCAAAUUCGGCUUCUUCGUUGUUCAUUUCUGCAUUCACCGUUAUAAGGCUUGCUUGGUAUUGUGCCAUCUGCAUUGCCAAGCUACGCCUUCUUUUAUCACCCAUUGAUGAGAUAUUGAUGAUUUUGAGGAAACAAAAACACUUUGAAAGUUGGAUGAUUGGUGAAUAUGUUGUGUGAAGGUUAGAUAUUCAACCUUUGCUUAUAGAGAGGAUGAUUGAAGGUUUGCGUUUCAUGUGUGUAGGUUUGUGUUUCAUGUGUUUCAUGUGUUUUGUAUGUAUUUAGUAUGUGUUUCGUGUAUGUCAUGUGUUUCACAUGUUUGGUGUGUUAUAUACAUCUCUAUCAUGUGUUUUGUAUGUGUUUCAUAUGUGUUCUGUGUGUCUUGUGUGUUUCAUGUAUUUUGUGUUUAUACAUCUCUAUCAUGAUUUUCAUAUUCUUCCAUAGUUUUUCAUGUAUCGAUUUAGUAAUUUUUCAAUAUUUAUCGGAAUUUAAAUAUUUUUAGGUUAAAAUGUUCAUAUAAUUAAUUUAGGAUGGUCUACAUAUUUUUUUAAGUUAAUUUUAAAUACAUAAUUUUUUUUAAAAAAAAUAGCCUAAAUUCAUUAUUUAAUAAUUUGGGGCUAAAAGUUUAGGCUAUAAGGGUUGGAGUAGAAAAACUGUUUAUGAGUUAAAACCUAAAUUUUCUGGACUAAAAAUUUUAGGUUUUACCCCAAUAUUUGGGGAUGGUCCAAGAUUUGUCUUUUUUAGUUGAAAGUUACUUUCCUUAAAACAAUCGGUAUUCAAAGGAGACUUAAAUUCAGGAGCUUUUUCAAUAUUGAAAAAAAUAAAUAAUAGAUAAAAAUUAAAUCAUACUCCCCCAAAUAAGUAAUAGACUAAAAAUUAAAAGGAAAACUGAUGGAAAUGGCUUGAAAACUUUGAGUUUUAACGAUAAGGAGAAAAUAAAUGAUAAAGUGAAUAGUAUCAGGAUUGACUUUUUAGUGUAAAAAUGUGGUUUUUCGUUAAAGUGAACAGUAUCGGAAGUUUUUCGUUAAAGUUCCCAAAAUUAAAUAAUACUCCCACCAAUAAGUAAUAGACUAAAAACUAAAUCAUACUCCCGCCAUAAGACUUGUCUUUUAAUUAUGUUGAAAAGUGCUUUUUUGAAAGCUAUCGGAAAUUGAAGGAGAUUUAAAUUCAGGAACUUUUUUAAUAUUGAAAAUAUAAGUAAUAAAUCGUCUACUUGCUCCACAAAUAAAUCGAACUUCUUUAUCAUAAGAUUGUGCCAUAGAGGGGUUUAAUCUAUAGUUAAGUUUUUUCCUAUGCCUUGUCACCAAGGACUAUGUAUUUUCUUUGUAUAUAUGCCAAGAGACAAUCCUAAACUAAUCGGAUCUUAGUUUGCAACUGCAAAGUAAAUUGAAAGAUAAAAAUUAACGCAAGUAAUGAUACAAAGGAAAUACAGGGAAGAAAAGGAUGGUUAGAUGUUCACCAAACGUUAAUUAACAAGAAAGUAAAUUGCAUAUAAGGUUAAUAAUUUGAAAAGAAAUGACAAAUACAAGUAUUUAGGCAAAGUUUGAACCUAUUCAGGCAAAAUUGAUCACAAAUUAAGCAAAUUCUUGCAAGCAAGGAAAUUUAUUUUAGAAAGAAAGUUAAUACAAAAAAAUCAAUUCUACAAGUGAUAUAGCAAAGCUAUAAAGAAAAUAAGUGUUUGAAUAACAAAAAGAAUUUCUAAAAAGUAGGUUUGCAGAGCUUUGAAGUUUUUUUGUGUUAAGUAAGUGUCAUUUUCUUCCUCUUUAUGCUGCCUUUUAUAGAAUAGACUUUUCCUUUUAAUGUAAGCCCUUCCCCCUUAGUUCAUUCCUUAUUAUCCAAUAACUUGCUGAUUUGACUGCUGUCAGAUGAUGAGUUUUCAUCUAGUAGCUUGAGCUUUUUCCCUUUAAAACUACAAUUUUUCCACCAGAUAGCAACUGUCCUCUGUGAAAAUAAAAAAAUCAACUGAAUUACCUUCUUUUAAUGUGAAAGAGGGUAUCUUUGCCGUCCGCAUUGCUACCUCAUAAAGUACUUUUAAAAACCUGGAUCGCACACUGUUCACCUGUAACAUAACUAAAUACUCACUAAGUCAUUAGUUAAAGUUCAGUGGCUUGGGCAGGCCUAGAACGUGCCUAACAAAUGUUUUCAGUCCAAACAACUUGGCCUUAAGGUGCAUGACUAAUCUGGGUGGUAACAUAAACUGUAUUAUUUAGUAGUAAAACGACAGUUUUUCAAGAUAUCAAACAGUAUUGUCCUAUGUCCUAGUGAUAACAACUAAUGGAAAAACAGAAAAUGGGAACUUUUUGUUGGCAAUGUACAUGACGAAUGUAUCUAUUUUUAUCCUUGGCACCUUUCUCUAUAGCAAUUGGGUAAACUAAAGCUGAGGAAUAGGCUUAUAAUAGCCUUGGAUAUUAACUUGUAAACCUAACUGGACCGACCUUGAAUUCCAACUCACAUAUUCACCCGAGUUUCUCCUUAACUAUAAGAUGAGAAAUAACUAGACUUGACAUUCGUGUCAUGUUUUCUAUGUUCAUAUCGUUUUCGUGUCAUAUUCAAUAUUUUAACGAGUCGUGUCAUGUAAUGUCCGUUAAAAUAAAUGGGUAUAUAACAUGACUAGAAAUUGCCUCGUUAAUAUUAAUGCUAGGAAACCAAAAUUUUAAAUUAGAUUUGCAAAUCAAAUGAUAUGGUUGUUGAUGAAUGGUUCAUUACUACAGCGUUGAAUAACGUGCUUAUUUUCUAUUAGUGACACAUCAUUUGGUUUGCAAAUUUGAUUUAAAAUUUUGGUUUCCCUAGCAUUACCCAUAUGGAUAAUAGUUGUAGAAGCGGGUUUCAAACCUGAGACCUCUAGUUUUUAGCUUUAAGGAAGCCUCGUAAUCCUCCAUUUACCACUUAGCCACCAAUUUGUGGUUUAUAAUAAAAAUUAAGAAAAUUUAAAAAUGUAAUCACAAUAAAUCGGCUCCAUGGACCAGUAAAAAAUUAGGAUCCACAGGUUUCUAUCAGAAUGUGAAAUGAGAAAUAAUUAGACCUGAGAUUCAUGUCGUGUUUUAUGUAUUCCUAUCGAUUUCGUGUCAUAUUUUAACAAGUCGUGCCGUGUAAGACCCAUUAAAAUAAACGGGUAUAUGACCCGACCAGAAAUUGAUUCGUUAAUUUUAAUAGGUAAUAUGACAUGACCCGUUACUUGUUAAAGAAAAUAUAUUUUAAGCCAAUAAAUAAUCAAAUGAAAAAUAUAAUACUAAAUAGUAUACACAUACCACAUUGUCACAUAAAUAUUACUUGAAACAUAAAAAUACAUUUGUCUUUCAAGCAUCACAUAAAUAUUAAUUAACGUAGAAGUGUGAAAAAUAUUGAAAAAAAAAUAUUAUAUAAACGCUCGUACUAAUUAACAAGCUUUACAACUUUCGUGAAGGGCUCAACUUUCAAAUUUGCCACUAUAAUCACUUAAACUAUAGAUCGAAAUUUAACUAUUGAUUGUCGUUUACAUUUAUGCUUCUCACCAAAUUUGUCUUUUCAGAUCUUCUUUUUUGAAAACAUAAUCUUUUUUAGGAUGCAGAAAGAUGAACGGUUUAGGUCGCUGAUAUUACAUUCAGAGUUUACUGUUAGUAAAAACAUUGCUUGGAGUUUAUAAAGUGUCUAGAAACUAUAUAACAUCAACUCAUAUUUCAGUUAAAUAUAAAUAUUAGAACAUGAUAUCAAUGAUUCGAACUAUUCAUUUUUUUAUAAAUGUGCUAAAAUAUCAUGUUUAAAAAAAUUUGAAAAACAAAAUUCAAUGAGAAGAAUAAGGCGUAAACAACGAUUGAAGAUUAAGUCUAAAUCUAAGAUUUAUGGAUUAUGGUGUUAGAUUUUAGAGUUGACCGCUUCACAAAGUUGUAAAGCUUGUCAUUACGAGUAAUUGUGUGUGUGUGUGUGUAUAUAUUUUACAUUUUUCACAUUCUACAAUGAUUAUUAUGAAUUUUAUUAGUUUUGCACUUAAAUAAAAAAUACUAUUCAUGAGGGUUUGAAAGGUUUUAAAUCUAAACGCCGAUGUAACCAUUGUCUAUGCAUGGAGGAUGCAAUCCCAAUUGUCUAUAUAUUCUUUCCCUUUUUUACACUUGUACAUUAAUUAUUAUGAUUUUUUUAAUGUGUUUGGUAUUUUAAGAUUAUUUUAAUAUUUUUAUUUUUUAAUGUGUUUUACAAUAUUUUAAUUUCACUUUUAAGAGAAUAAAACAUUUAUGAGUAUGAGUGUAUGAGAGAGGGUAAAACAAAUUUGGGUAAAAAAUUUUUGGGUAACAAAUCAAGUAAAAAUCUCACAAUAAAAAUAAAUAAAUAAAACUUAAAUUUUUUAAACUUAUAUAGAAUAAUAAUACGAUAAUACAUAUUUAACAUACAAUAUAUACAUUAUGGUUGUUGUAUUUUAUGGUAAGUUUUUAUUAGUAGUUUAAGUUUAAAAUCAUCAAAAUAAUAUUUUUCUUAAUAGUCGAAACGUGUUACCUACAGGUUACCCGAGUGUAAAUCCGUUAACGACCCGUUUUUAACGGGUGACCUGAUAACAACCCGAUUAGUUGUUAUGUUGAUCCGAAACUCGUUAUUUUCGUGUUAUUUUCGUUUCAUAUUAACAGAUCGUGUAAGAAACUAUCAGGUUUUAUAAUAACAUGCAUGCAUUUGUGUCAAAAUAUAUAAGAGAUUCCAUCACACACAAUGUUGACUAAGAAAUUAGAAGAAGAAAAAACUUUGCUAAUAGGCGAGGACCAUUCGAUCUUCAAAUCCUGGGAAUCUGCGUGGUUUUCUUGUGCUAUAUCUCUUAGCUAGUUGUCUGCAGUAUACGUGUACGCCAUACAUUUCUUAAUUUUUUAGCUAUAUUACUAGCUAGCUAUUGGCGUAUUUUUCCUGCUAUCAACUUACUUGCACAUUUCUACUUUUUGUUUUCUCCAUGUAUGUGCACACACUAGUGGAUCCAUUAAGGGGCAUGGGGGGUCAGGUGACCCCCCGAAUUUCAAUGAACAUCCAUAGAUACCUUACGUGCUGAUCCUUCAAACCUCGGUGAAUGUCCAUGGAUACCUUGAGUGUUGCCCUUUUGAAGAUUAGAGUUGGCUUCAUACUUGCCCUCCAAACGACUUCAGGCCUACCAAAACCCGAUGAAUGUCCGUGAAUACCUUGGGUGCUGCCCCUUGCAUACAUUAACAUGUCUAUAGUAUACAUUUUCAAAUGACUUUAGGCCUACGAAAACUUGAUCAAAUGGCAAUAUGCAUGCUAUUUAUGGUAUAAAAAAAUUUGCGCACUAUGCGCUCUAUUUUUACUGACCCCCCUAAUAUUAUUUCCUAGAUCCGCCACUGGUUGCACAUGUAUUUUGUUGUCUUCAAACUAGCACAUUUAUGGGUUUUGUGCUCUCAUGAUUCUCCAUACUUGCUCCUAAAUCUUUCUUACCACACAAUUAAGCAUGCACAUGCAAUUUUCUUUCCAUAGCGGCUAACACACUUACAAUACCACAUUAUUCUUGAAUUGAGUUUCAUUAAUAUUGGUUUAAGCGGUUGAACAAAAGAGAAAGUUUUUUCGUUUUUAUUUUAUUGUUUAACUUAUAAAAAAAAAGAAAAAAAAAGAAUAGAAAGUUUGAUUUGGACAUACUACGUCACCAUGGCCAUCAAUUGUUAACUGGUUCAUUAUCCAUGACAUUGACAAAUUAACGAAUUAAGUUUUUUUUAGGGUGAAUUACAUUUUUCCACUUAUGGCUAUUGCAACAUCAUAUAACAUCAUUAAAAAAAUCACUUUCAUACCUCACGUACUAUUUUAUUUCAAUAUAAUAUCUCCGUUCCAUUUUAUAUCCAUUGCUCCGUUAAGAGCUGACGUGGCAGUCCACUCCUUACAAAAUUAAAUUAAAACAAAAUGAAAAAGGGUCAAUCCCCUCUUCUUCCACCUGAACACAAGGCCUCCAUCUCCUCCAAUCUCCAUAACCACCAGUGCACCACCCCUCCCAAUCCCUAAACCCUCAUUCUCUAAUCCUCCAAAUUCUUCUUCUUCCCCAAAUUUCCGUAAUAAAUCUCUCUAGUUUCAUUCUCAAGCCGAAAAAGAAACCCCCAGAAAUUUCAUAGAUUUCGAAAUUUUAUUUCCCAAAAUUCAAAAACCCCAAAAAAUUCAAAAGAUCAUGACGUCGACAGAGAACCAGGCGCUUAGGCCACAUACAGCGAAACCAAGGUCACCGAAAGACGCGAUCUUUGAGAGGCCGCCGCUGUGGGGGGAGAAGUUCGCCAAGGACGAGCCCUCCUCAAAUGGGUCGUUGGUCUAUGAUCUGAUGGAGAUUUAAAUUAAACCAUCGGUAUUCGAAGGAGAUUUAAAUUCAGGAACUUCUUCAAUAUUGAAAAAAUAAGUAAUAGAUCGUUUGUUUACGCCACAAAUAAAUCGAACUUCUUUAUCAUACGAUUGUGCCACAGAGGGGUUUAAUCUAUAGUUAAGCUUUUUCCUAUUCCUUAUUGAUGCGAUGAAAGUUAAGCACUCAAAUUAAACCCUCUUGUUGUCAAAUUGUAGUAAUAAUGCAAGUAGGGAUCGUUCUAAACCGGGGAUUAGGAGGGCUUGCUAAAACUUCUAAACUAACUCAAAAACAUAAAAACAAAGUUAAAGACGAUUGAAUAGACUUAAAGAACUCAAAACAGGUUCACAAGACUCAAAAUAACUUAAAGACACUCAAAACUGCCUAAAAACACAAACUAGGCAGUUUCUGACUCUAACACAACUUUGGACGAAAUUUGGGUUUUGACUUGACUCAAAACACUCUAAAACACAAACAAAACAAAUUUUAAACACUUUGAAACAAGAAAGUAAAAGGGGGAUUUUAGUUUUGAUGAAUUUGAAACAAACAAACAAGUUAUAAAACUAGGCAGAUUGUAAAACGAAUUUAAGAAAUAAGAUGAUGGAUGGAUUAGUUAGAGGUCCGCUCUUCACACAUGACACACUUGUAUAUGAAUUGAUUUCCAAUUGCUUUUCAAUAAACUAUGAUGCUCAACACCCCAGAUUAACCGUGAUGCACAAAUUAACCCUCAGAUUUUCCUUUACUCAUUGAAUUGGAUGAAUGCAUGCGACAACCCAAAUCAUUCUCUAAAAGUCCCCUAUAUGAAUGCAUAAUAGAGAUACAAUCAGAGAUCAUUACGUUCAAUGAAAAUCAUAAGUGUUGACGAGGCAAUUAUAACUAUGAAUGCAUGAUACAAUUGCCAAGAAUUCAAUUAACGCGAUUGUGAUAAAAUACCUUCGCUACUCAUGACUAUAAACUUGUAACGAUUAGGUAAAACUCAUUUAUAUUCUAGCAUCUAAUUCAUGCAUGAAAACUAAGUAUGCAUCCUUAAUAAACAUACAAGAAUCAGUUAUGAAUAAAAUAGAUAAUUGAAUUGCAAUCACAACUUAUCAAAUCACAAUUGGAAGAAAUCAAUUCAAAUCUCAAGCAUGUUCAUGGCUUCAAACUUCCCCCUAACUAAAUAGGGGUUUAGCCACUCAUAAUUGCAACAAAAUUAGACAAUAACAAUGUAGACAUUGAAAGCAAGAACGAAGUACACCUAAAACGCUCCAAAGUUCCAAGCUUGAAACGCCAAGGACCUUUGUUUUCACCACCUUGUUGUAGCACAAGUGUCUAGGAUAUGUAUGGAUAUAUGGAUGGAAUGGAUUUGCACGGCUAAGAGAUGAAAGUGUAUGGAUUGGUGAGAUGUAGUAUGGCUAGAUGAAUGGAUGGAGGUCACUACAAAGAAAUUGUGUUUGUGAAUGAAGCUCUUUUGAUGGAUCAAGAUUGUCCUUAGGAAGGGGAAUGGUGGAUGUAUUUAUAGGCUAAGGAGAGGACCACUUCAAUUCCUUGCAUGUGCAGUUUGUAUGGGUGUGUGAUGUCCAUGUUUCCCUUUACAUUUGCACACACAUGACCUCCAUCAUCUCAGCCACAAAUCAACCCAUUUUAUGCCCAUGUGUGUGUGUUUCCUUUGCCCAUGUGUGUGUGUUUUUCCUUUGCAUUUGCACACACAUAUUCUUCAUUAUUUCAGCCAACAAUCCACCCAUUUUCUGCCCAUGUCAAACUGUCCAUGCCAUGCCUUUCUCUUUGUGUGUGUGCUGUCCAUGUUUCUUCCAUGUGCCUUGUUCAUCUUCUGGCUGUGCAUUUCCACUUGCUCCAAAGCCAAAUAAGUGCAAUCAUAACCCCAUUUGCUGCUGAGUGUUGAUGACAAAGCAAAACACAAAACAAGUGCCUUUACUUUCUCACUUUAUUAGCCAAAUCUGCUUAGCCCUUUUCUGAACCUUUCAGUGUUACAAUGCCCAUAACUUCUUGUAGAAAAAUGAUAUUAACAAUCCGUAAAUUGCUCCAGAAAAUAGACAUCUGUAGCUUUCCAAGCAUAUAAGGCUCAUUCUCUCAUUCAUUCUGAGCUGUUUGUAACAUGCUUCCAAAGUCAGCUAAUCUGCACAGGCAGUUUUGACGAAUUUAUUACUUAAUAACUCACUUGUGCUACUUUUCUUUUCUUUGCUUGAUAAAUCACACAAAACACAAAAACAUAGUAAAUAGCUCAAAAAUAUAAGGAACUAACUAAGAAAAGACAAGUGAAUUUUAUGUAAAAUAUAUAUAAAUAUGAGCUUAUCAAAUACCCCCACACUUAGCUUUUGCUAGUCCUCGAGCAAAAUAAAGAAAACAAAACACAAACUAAACCUUCCAACGUUUGCCUCAGGGAUUUCCAACGCACAUGACAAGUUAAAAAUCAUCAUUCCCACAGAUUUUAGUCAACUUAAAACUUGAGCACAUACUUAAUCACAAUCACCACUUACUAGUUCACAUUUAACCAAUUAAAACGAUGUUUUGAAUGUAGUAACAUGCCUUAGAGAAUUUGCCCAAUUCCUUACAAGAUAUGCACUCAAUUUUCACUUAGAUUUUCUGACUACACACCCUACACUAGGUACAUGUGAGAAGAUUGAUGUAAACAUGAAAACUAGUACUCACAUAUAUGUAUAACAAGAAAGCAUUUUCUGGUAUUAAUAAGCAUGUUUAGAUAUGAUCUCAUGAAUGGAAUGCUACUACGUAGAUGCGAACCAGUGACACCAUAUGCUCAUACCAAAUUCGAACUCCACAAAUUGAAACACAUAACACUCAAGAUAGAAGUCAAGGGUUGUAACGGGGUUUGGGGUAUUGGCUAAUAAAGAAAGGAUAGGAAUAACAAUUGUUCUUAAAGCGAUAGCAAGCAAAGCAAUGAAAUAGACACUUUGGAAUUCACUUUAGAAUGCAAAAUCAACUUUUAAAUACAAAGGGAAGAUUCAUGCAACACUUAGGGCUCUUUUUCACAACUUUUCUUCUUUUCAUUCUAUUUUCCACGAAUUUUUUUUUCUUUUUCUUUUCUACCCGUGCCUUAUUAAGGACUUUGGCACACACACACACACAAGAAUCACUUCCCCCACACUUGUUUUUCUGCAAAAGUUCAACAAAAGGAAUUCCUUCUAAAUUAUGUUUUACUAUGCUUCAAGAACAAGGGUAUGGAUGGUCCUAAUCUAGGCUAGGUGAGGAUAGUGUGGGUUAACAAAGAACAUAGGCUACACAAGGCUCAAUGGGGUUAAACUUAAACACAUAACGAAAUAGGGCACGGCAAUUUGGCUGUGGUGGUCACUACACAACUUCAUCUUGAAUAUGUAUUAUGCAAAUCAAUAACAUGCUUUGAAUGAAAUAGGCAUGAGUUCUAGCAUUUGGAACUAAUUGAUGAAACGCCUUCUAAGUAGCAACCAAGCAAAGAAUAAUGAGAUCAUGCAACGACUUUAGAAAACAAUGAUGCACAUAUUAUUAACUCUCCAAAUAAACGUUUAGGCUCAAGUCUCACAAGGUUGUAGCGUACAUUUGAGUUCCUUCUUUCAAGCAUGUUACAAAACUGAUUUUUUCCUUUAUGAUUGCAUGUGAAUUCAUAAAUUAUAACCACAACCAAGCAUACACCAAAGAGUAAAUCAAAAUUUCAUCCAUGUUUAUAACUUUCUUUAACAAUCAUGCAAUUAAAAACCAAAUCCUCAUCAUUGUGUUGGAAGGUACCCUAAGACACAAAUUAACAUACAAAAACAACUCUUUUUGGGUUUUUCAAAACAAUUUUUCAAAUUUUUAUGUCAAAACACACUGAAACACUCCAAAACAGCUUUAAAACACUUAAAACAGCAAGGUACAACACUAGAAGUAAUGGGUGAUAAACUCCUACGAAUUUCAUGCAAAAUGGUUACCCCCCCCAACACUUAAAUCAAACAUUGUCCUCAAUGUUUCAAGCAUAAACUCACAUAAACAAAUAACGAAUAAACAUGACAAGUAUGGCAAAGUAAAAAUUAGACAGAGUAGAGUUUAAGAACGCAAAUCUGGUUUUGGAGAUAGAUGAUCUUGUUAUCUUUCCACAGCUUUGAUCUCAAACUGGUUUGGAAUUUUGAGCGAGGAAUAUGAGAGUUCCUUGGUUUCAAAUCAGACUCCUUCUGCUGGGUUGAUUUGAUUGUGCAGUCUGCAUUCUUCUCUGCUUGUUUCUUUUGCACGGCGGGCAGGCACGAGGUAGAGGUGUUAGUCUAUUUCUUUCUUCAAUCUUUCCAAGUGCCCACCUCUUGCUUUCUUUCUCAUUGUCCCUAGCUGAGGAUGAAUUGGUAAAUUGUCUCCACAUGCUUCGAGGUAUCAUUUUUACUUCCCUUAUCUGUUCCCCAGGCAGAUGUGGUAGACGAAGAGGAAGCAUAAAAUGAUGAAGAUGAGUACUCGAGAGCAAGGCUAGGUAAGCAAUCAGGAAGGGGUUCCAGGCAGUCGGUUCCAUAUCGGAAGAUUAAUACCAAGUGCUGGCUGAUUGCCUUUUUCUCCUUGUCCCAAAACAACGACAAGGAGAAGGACAGGGAGAAAGCAUGAUAUAAGAUACUCUUGCUUUCAACCUUCAUGAUACGAAAUACUUUUGCUUUGGAUGAGUUGUUUGCAGAGGUACCCCAAGGAAUAAGAAACACUGAGUAACUCGAGAGGGUUUGUUGGAAAGGCAUUCUCAGGGAAGAAGAAAGGUUAUGUAUGUUUGCCUUGCAAUGGAGGGUGAAUGGUGACAUUUAUAGGAAUUAAUAACCGAUACUAUUCUUUCACUCUUGUCAGCAACCGUUGGAUGAUUUAAUAGUAAACUUCACGUGCUUUCUACUUCACAAGAGAUCUUUGACAGAUUGCCCGUAAUUUUUGCAAAGCUGAUUGUGCGUGUGACAGGAGCUGACACAUCUGGAAAAGCAAGUGCCUCUUUGAUAUCUGGAAUCAGUGCUUCGACAAACUGCCUGUGAUUUCCGCAAAGUUGACUCUGCAUGUGACAGAUGUUGACACGUCUAGAAAAGUAAAUGGUUGGAAUCGACGCUUCGACAAAUUGCCCGUGGUUUCUGAGCAAGCCCAGCUUUUGAGAAAGCUAGCGCCUCUUCGAUUUUUGAAUUGGCCUCUUUGAAUUCUGAGCUCGCCUCUUCGAUCUCUGAAAUCCCGUCGAAUGCUGAUUUAAAUAGAGGCACACAGUUCGUUUUAAAGCAUACUUAAAUUUCUGCCUGUUAAAAACUUUCUUCUUGCACUUCUAAGAUCUUGACUUGUCGGACCUCUUCUUUCUUCAACACCUUUGAAAAUGUCUGGCCCUUCCGACAGUCGUUUUGACUUGAACCUUGGUGAGGAGGCUGCCAUGCCUUCUCCAGACAACAUAUGGCGCUCAUCCUUCAUUUCCCCUACUGGUCCUCUUACCGUUGGGGAUUCUGUGAUGAAGAAUGACAUGACCGCUGCGGUGGUGGCCCGGAACCUUGUCACUCCCAAAGAUAACAGACUACUUUCCAAACGUUCUGAUAAGUUGGUUGUUAAGGAUUCUCUGGCUCUCAAUGUGCAGUGUGCAGGUUCUGUGUCUAAUAUGGCCUAACGCCUAUUUGCUCGAACCUGUCAAGUUGAAUCAUUGGCAGCUGAAGUGAUGGGUCUCAAGCAGGAGAUUAGAGGGCUCAAGCAUGAGAAUAAACAGUUGCACAGGCUCGCACAUAACUAUGCUACAAACAUGAAGAGGAAGAUUGACCAGAUGCAGGAAUCUGAUGGUCAGAUUUUACUGGAUCAUCAGAGAUUUGUAGGUAUGUUCCAACAGCAUUUCCCUUCGUCUUCUGGGGCUGUACCGUGUACUGAAGCUCCAAAUGAUCAGCCUCCGAUACUUCCUCCUUCUGGGGCUCCGCCGACUUCUGAGGCUCUACCGACUACUGAGACUUCUUCUAAGAAACCUUUGUGAAGGCUCUCUCUCUUAUAUUUUUCUACCUCCUGUUCAUUUUCAAUGAAUUUUAAUGUAAAAAUACCUUACAUAUCUGUCAAUGUUUCAAAAAUAAACCCACACCCAAAAAUAAUUAAAUAAGCAACAAAUAAAAAUGACAAUCAUGGCAAAAUAAAAAUGCAGAAAAUGGAAGGUUUUUAGAAACGCAAAACUGAUUGUGAAGCGAUUCAUAGAUCUUCCUUAUUUGAACACAUGGGUUGCCUCCCAAGAAGCGCUUUCUUUAACGUCUUGCAGCCGGACAAUACCUCAUUUUAAACUCCAUUAGGGCUCACGGCAUGGAGGGGUAUUUCCUCCACCAUAUGCUCCUCAAACAGGUCGUAAUAGGGCUUCAAACGAUGCCCAUUCACCUUAAAUUCAUGACCGGUUUUCAUGCUUUGGACUUGGACUGCACCAUGGGUAAAAACAUUAGUAAUAACAAAUGGUCCAAUCCACUUAGAGCGUAACUUACCAGGGAAUAACCGAAGGCGAGAAUCAAAUAGUAGCACUUUCUGCCCCUUGGAAAAUGUCUUUGUACGAAGCAUCUUGUCGUGAUACGCCUUGGUCUUAUCCUUGUAAAUCCGAGCAUUCUCGUAUGCCUCGUGCCUAAUCUCCUCAAGUUCAUUUAAUUGGAGCUUUCUAUGCACCCCGGCGGUAUCUAUAUCCAUGUUGAAGGUCUUUACAGCCCAAUGUGCCUUGUGCUCUAACUCGACGGGAAAAUGACAUGGCUUACCAUAGAUGAGCCGAAAAGGGGACAUGCCAAGGGGAGUUUUGUAAGUCGUACGAUAAGCCCACAAUGCAUCGUCUAAGCGCAAGCUCCAAUCCUUCCUUGUUGGCCUCACAGUUUUCUCAAGGAUUUGCUUGAUCUCUCUGUUUGAAACCUCGGCUUGCCUAUUGGUCUGAAGAUGAUAAGGUGUUGAAACCUUAUGUGUAACGUUGUACUUUUUGAGCAAAGCCUCAAUGGUUCGAUUACAAAAGUGGGAGCCUCUAUCACUAAUGAGAACUCUAGGCAUUCCAAACCUAGCAAAAAUGAUAGUUUUCACAAAAUCUGUAACAACCUUAGAAUCGUUAGUACGAGUGGCUUUUUCAACAGCUAGCAAGAUAUAAGUGAAACCAUAAGAUGGAGGGAAAUGACCCAUGAAAUCAAUACCUCAAACGUCAAAAAUUUCAACAAAAGAUAGGGGUUGCUGCGGCAUUUGAUCCUUGGUACCUAUGUUUCCCAUUCUUUGGCACCGAUCACAUGUUAGACAAUAAGUUCUAGCAUCUUUAAACAACGUGGGCCAAUAAAAUCCACAUUCAAGAACCUUUAAUGCCGUUCUUUGAGUUCCAAAAUGUCCACCACAAGCAUAAGUGUGACAAAAUCUUAGGAUCGAAAGAAAUUCACAAUCAUGCACACAUCUACGUAAAAUCUGAUCAGAGCAAUACUUCCACAAAUAGGGAUCAUCCCAAACAUAGAAACGUGCAUCUUUUCGAAGUUUAUCACAUUGGUGCUUGGUGAGAGUGCUAGGAACUUGUUUAGACACUAAGUAAUUCACUAGAUCGACAUACCAUGGUUCACUCACCUCAAUGGACAGUAGCUGCUCAUCGGGGAAAGUUUCAGGGAUAGGCACGUCAUGCUCAUGCUCCUCAUGGACCAUUCGGCUUAAGUGGUCAACCACCACAUUCUCGCUUCCUUUCUUGUCUCAGAUUUCGAUGUCAAACUCUUGAAGAAUAAGCAUCCAACGAAUAAGCCUCGGUUUUGCUUCCUUAUUUGUUAGUAAGUACUUUAAAGCUACAUGAUCAGUAUAAACAAUCACUUUAGUUCCAAUUAAGUAAGAUCGAAAUUUAUCUAAAGCAAAGACAACAUCUAGAAGUUCUUUUUCCUUUGUUAAGUAGUUCAAUUGGUCAUCAUUGAGAGUCUGAGAGGCAUAGUAUAUAACAUGCGGUUGCUUGUCUUUUCUUUGCCCCAAAACAGUGCCUAAUGCAUAGUCGGAUGCAUCGCACAUAAGCUCGAAAGGAAGGCUCCAAUCGGGAGGAACAAUGAUAGGGGCCGAAGUGAGCUUCUCCUUGAGCUGCUUGAAUGCUGAUUCACACUCCUCAUCAAACUGGAAGGGCACAUCUUUUUGAAGCAAUCGGUAAAGGGGGUUUGACAUCUUGGAAAAAUCCUUGAUGAAACGCCUAUAGAACCCUGCAUGGCCAAGAAAUGAACGAACCUCUCUAACCAAAGUAGGAGAGGGUAAGUGACGUACAAGGUCUAUUUUUUAUUUAUCAACUUCAAUUCCUUUUUCUGAAACAAUAUGGCCUAAAACUAUACCUUGUUUAACCAUAAAGUGGCAUUUUUCCCAAUUCAACACAAGGUUAGUUUUAACACAUCGUUUCAAGAUCAAGGUCAGAUUAUCCAAACAAUUAUCAAAAGAUUCUCCAAAUACACUGAAAUCAUCCAUAAAUACCUCAAUUAUCUUCUCAACAUAAUCGGAGAAUAUACUUACCAUACACCUUUGGAAAGUGGCAGGUGCGUUGCAUAAGCCGAAUGGCAUGCGACAAUAGGCAAAAGUUCCAAAGGGACAUGUGAAUGUGGUCUUCUCUUGGUCAUCCGGUGCUAUCACAAUUUGGUUAUAUCCAGAAUAUCCAUCAAGAAAACAAUAAAACGCACGACUGGCUAACCUUUCAAGCAUUUGGUCGAUGAAUGGCAAAGGAAAGUGAUAUUUCCUUGUUGUAGCGUUUAGCUUCCUAUAGUCAAUACAAACACGCCAUCCGGUUUGAAUUCGUGUAGGUACCCACUCGUUCUAAUCAUUCUUGACAACGGUAACUCCAGAUUUCUAGGGAACGACUUGAACUGGUGAAACCCAAUGGCUAUCGGAGAUAGGAUAGAUCAUGCCACAAUCUAAGAGCUUGAUUAUUUCCUUCUUCACAACUUUCAUCAUAGGAGAGUUGAGAUGGCGUUGAGCCUCUCGGGAUGGUUUAGUCCCCUCUUCAAGAAGUAUGCGCUGCAUGCAAGUGGUGGGGCUAAUUCCCCUAAUGUCGGCUAAGGUCCACCCUAUGGUUGUUUUGUGCUCUCGUAGCACCCUCACAAGCUUUUCUUCCUCAUGUGCCGUGAGGCUUGAAGAAACAAUGACGGGCAAUGUCUCGUCAUCUCCCAAAAACACAUGCUUCAAAUGGUCCGGCAAUGGCUUAAGUUCAAGAGUAGGUGCCUGAACAAUAGAAGGUAACAUCUUAGUAGAAACUAAACUUGAAAUUAAGAGCGGAACCUUACCAUAUUGUUAUGGAAGUGACUCAAGGACAGCCCAAAUCUGGCCGUGGGUUUGCAUUGCCCCAAGUUCGCGGUUUUUGAAUUCUAUGCCCUUCGUAAUGGCUAUUUCAAGGGCAUCCUCGUUCAAUUCCUCCAGAUACUCCUGCGCCAAAGAAUCAAUAACAUCAAUAGAAAAGUAAGAGUGAUCAUCAACGGGAUAUCUCAUAGUUUCAGAAAUAUUAAAAUCGAUAACUUCCCCAUCGAAUUCCAUCGUCAAAAUUCCCUUGAAUACAUCAAUCUUUGUACAGGCUGUCUUCAUGAAUGGCCUACCAAGGAGAAUCGGCAACGAGGUGGAAUGGACUGAAUCUUCCAUGUCUAAAAUGUAAAAAUCAGCCGAAAAGAUCAAAUGGUUCACCUGCACUAAAACAUCCUCCAAAACACCUUUUGGGUAUGCGUUAGAACGAUCAGCCAAUUGUUUAAUCACACCAUCCUUUUUCAAUUCACCCAAGUUCAUAGAUGCAUAAAUAGAGUAAGGCAUGACAUUUAUAGAUGCACCUAAAUCUAGCAUUGCAUUUUCAAAUCGAGUAUUGCCAAUCACACAGGGAAUCGUAAAACUUCCUGGGUCUUUGCAUUUAGUGGGCAGUUUACGUUGCAAUACGGCUAAAACAUUUUCACUUACCUUAACUACCUCUUUGUUCGACAUUCUUCUCUUGGUUGUGCACAACUCUUUGAGAAAUUUGGCAUAUUUCGGGACUUGCUUAAUUGCAUCCAAAAGUGGUAUAUUGACUUGAACUUUUCUAAAUGUUUCCAAAAUAUCCUUUUCAGCCUCCUCCUUCUUUGAUUGCAUAAACCUAUGAAGAAAGGGUACAUUUGGAGGAACAACGUUAGAAUUAAUCAAAAUUGGAACUUUCUUACCUUUGUUGGCUGAAUUGGAUGGUUUAGGAGCAUUUGGGGCCUGCGGCAAAGGUGUUUCCACCCUUUCCAUAGGGGUGCUUUGCUCCUUCUCUUCAAUUAUCAACUCUUCAACCUCAUUGGAACGUGAUUAGGAAGUUUGGGGAUCAUAUCCAACUGGUUUUCCACUUCGCAAACUCAUGACUUUGGCAGAUUCGAAUCCUCCAUUCGGGUUGACAACGGUUGAACUAGGCAACUUACCUUGCUCCCUAAAUUGUCCCACAAACUCCGCAAUCUACCCAAUUUGCUUCUCCAUUUGGUCCACCCUUUUGUCUUGGUUUUGCAUUGCUUUGGCUUGAUUUUCUUGCCCCUAAGACAAAUUGGUGAGUAACUUAAGAAGUAUCUCAUUAUCUAAAGAUGUACCUGAGGUAUUUUGGGCAGGUUGUUGUGGGGCUUGUGUUGGUGCGUAUUGCUUGGUAUAGAAGCCUGGAGGUUGCUGCCUAAAGCCUCCUUGUUGUUGGGGUUGUUGGGGCUCCUUCCAUUUGAAAUUUGGAUGGUCUCUCCAACCUGGAUUGUAUGUAUUAGAAUAUGGAUCGUUCCUUGGCUAGUUUUGGCCUUGAAAUCCAAUUGCAUUGGCGCUUUCCCAUCCACCAUUUUCAAUCAAUUGAGGGAACUUUUCAGAGGCAUGUUCUUGGAUAGAACACACACCACAUACACUUGGUUCUUUAAUCCUCAUUCCUUCGGCCAUCUGAGACACAAUGGAAGUAAGAUUAGCUAAUUGCGAUUAGAUGUCGGAUGUGGAACUUACCUCAUUCACUUGAUGUCGUGGGGUGUCCCUUUGACCAACGCCUUUAUAUUGUUGAGCAUUCAAUGCUCGGUUAGCAAUUAAGGUCUUGGCAGCCAUGGGCGUUUUGUCCACCAAAGCUCCUCCAGCUGAGGCGUCUAGCAUUUGGCGUUCAAUUGGUAGAAGCCCUUCAUAGAAAUAUUGAAGAAGAAGCUCCUCCUUCAUCUGAUGCUGUGGACAUAAAGCAACAAGGGUUUUAAAACGCUCAUAGUAAGUGGAAAGGAUUCACCUUGGUUUUGUUGAAUGCCACUAAUCCUUUUGCGUAGUAGAAUGACUCGAGAAGUUGGAAAAAAUUUCUCCAAAAAUGCCCGUUUCAUACUCUCCCAUGAUGUGACAGUUCCGGGGGCUAGCUCAUACAACCAAUCUUUAGCCUUUUCUAAGAGAGAAAAGGGAAAAUCCUUCAUUUUCAGAAUGCUCCCAUCAACGUUUACAGGGGUCAUGCUCGAGCAAACAACCUCAAACUCUUUCAAGUGUUUAUUAGGAUCUUCCAUGGACAUCCCGUGGAACUUAGGAAUGUGAUGCAACAAACUUGAUUUCAAUUCGAACUCAUCCGUCUUCCCUAAGGUAGUCAUGGGGUAUUGGAUGCAUAGGGGAGCAGCAUUGUCCAAUCCUGAAGCGGAAAGCUCCUUGAUUGUUCGAUUGUCCACUGCCAUGUUGGAAUCUUCCUCUACAACGUGUGUCGUGGGCUCCUUUUGCACUUCUACUUUGUCUUCUCCAAGAUCUGGUGCAGGUUGAGAUGGUUGGGGUUCUUGUUGAGUCCUUGCUCGUCUCAAAGUUCGUUCAAAAUUGUCGUCAAAGUCACGGAUGUGCUUAUGAAUAGGUUGAGAACUUCGAGUCAUAAACCACCAAAAACAAGAAAACAAGUAAAGUCAUCAACUAGGAACACAAACACAUGAAAAUAAACAAAAAUAAAUAACAAGGGAUUAGCAAAAUUGCUAAUCCCCGGCAACGGCGCCAAAAUUUGAUGCGAUGAAAGUUAAGCACUCAAAUUAAACCCUCUUGUUGUCAAAUUGUAGUAAUAAUGCAAGUAGGGAUCGUUCUAAACCGGGGAUUAGGAGGGCUUGCUAAAACCUCAAAACUAACUCAAAAACAUAAAAACAAAGUUAAAGACGUUUGAAUAGACUUAAAAAACUCAAAACAGGUUCACAAGACUCAAAAUAACUUAAAGACACUCAAAACUGCCUAAAAACACAAACUAGGCAGUUUCUGACUCUAACACAACUUUGGACGAAAUUUGGGUUUUGACUUGACUCAAAACACUCUACAACACAAACAAAACAGAUUUUAAACACUUUGAAACAAGAAAGUAAAAGGGGGAUUUUAGUUUUGAUGAAUUUGAAACAAACAAACAAGUUAUAAAACUAGGCAGAUUGUAAAACGAAUUUAAGAAAUAAGAUGAUGGAUGGAUUAGUUAGAGGUCCGUUCUUCACACAUGACACACUUGUGUAUGAAUUGAUUUCCAAUUGCUUUUCAAUAAACUAUUAUGCUCAACACCCCAGAUUAACCGUGAAGCACAAAUUAACCCUCAGAUUGUCCUUUACUCAUUGAAUCGGAUGAAUGCAUGCGACAACCCAAAUCAUUCUCUAAAAGUCCCCUAUAUGAAUGCAUAAUAGAGAUACAAUCAGAGAUCAUUACGUUCAAUGAAAAUCAUAAGUGUUGACGGGGCAAUUAUAACUAUGAAUGCAUGAUACAAUUGCCAAGAAUUAAAUUAACGCGAUUGUGAUAAAUAACCUUCACUACUCAUGAAUAUAAACUUGUAACGAUUAGGUGAAACUCAUUUAUAUUCUAGCAUCUAAUUCAUGCAUGAAAACUAAGUAUGCAUCCUUAAUAAACAUACAAGAAUCAGUUAUGAAUAAAAUAGAUAAUUGAAUUGCAAUCACAACUUAUCAAAUCACAAUUGGAAGAAAUCAAUUCAAAUCUCAAGCAUGUUCAUGGCUUCAAACUUCCCCCUAACUAAAUAGGGGUUUAGCCACUCAUAAUUGCAACAAAAUUAGAAAAUAACAAAGUAGACAUUGAAAGCAAGAACGAAGUACACCUAAAACGCUCCAAAGUUCCAAGCUUGAAACACCAAGGACCUUUGUUUUCACCACCUUGUUGUAGCACAAGUGUCUAGGAUGUGUAUGGAUAUAUGGAUGGAAUGGAUUUGCACGGCUAAGAGAUGAAAGUGUAUGGAUUGGUGAGAUGUAGUAUGGCUAGAUGAAUGGAUGGAGGUCACUACAAGGAAAUUGUGUUUGUGAAUGAAGCUCUUUUGAUGGAUCAAGAUUGUCCUUAGGAAGGGGAAUGGUGGAUGUAUUUAUAGGCUAAGGAGAGGACCACUUCAAUUCCUUGCAUGUGCAGUUUGUAUGGGUGUGUGAUGUCCAUGUUUCCCUUUACAUUUGUACACACAUGACCUCCAUCAUUUCAGCCACAAAGCAACCCAUUUUCUGUCCAUGUGUGUGUGUUUCCUUUGCCCAUGUGUGUGUGUUUUUCCUUUGCAUUUGCACACAUAUAUUCUUCAUUAUUUCAGCCAACAAUCCACCCAUUUUCUGCCCAUGUCAAACUGUCCAUGCCAUGCCUUUCUCUUUGUGUGUGUGCUGUCCAUGUUUCUUCCAUGUGCCUUGUUCAUCUUCUAGCUGUGCAUUUCCACUUGCUCCAAAGCCAAAUGAGUGCAAUCAUAACCCCAUUUGCUGCUGAGUGUUGAUGACAAAGCAAAACACAAAACAAGUGCCUUUACGUUCUCACUUUAUUAGCCAAAUCUGCUUAGCCCUUUUCUGAACCUUUCAGUGUUACAAUGCCCAUAACUUCUUCUAGAAACAUGAUAUUAACAAUCCAUAAAUUGCUCCAGAAAAUAGACAUCUGUAGCUUUCCAAGCAUAUAAGGCUCAUUCUCUCAUUCAUUCUGAGCUAUUCGUAAUAUGCUUCCAAAGUCAGCUAAUCUGCACAGGCAAUUUUGACGAAUUUGUUACUUAAUAACUCACUUGUGCUACUUUUCUUUUCUUUGCUUGAUAAAUCACACAAAACACAAAAACAUAGUAAAUAGCUCAAAAAUAUAAGGAACUAACUAAGAAAAGACAAGUGAAUUUUAUGUAAAAUAUAUAUAAAUAUGAGCUUAUCACUUAUCACCAAGUACUUUGUAUUUUCUUUGUGUUUAUGCCAAGAGACAAUCCUAAACUAAUCGGAUCUAUUGAAAGACAAAAAGUAAUUCAAGUAAUGAUACAAAGGAAAGACAGGGAAGUAAAGGAUGAUUAGAUGUUCAUCAAAUGUUAAUUAACAAGAAAGUAAAUUGCAUGUAAGGUUAAUAAUUGGGUAAAUUACAUUUUACCCCCUCAUGUUUGGGGUCGAUUUCAAUUCUUUACAACAUCUUUAAAACAUUUCACUUUCAUACCUUACCUACUAUUUUAUUUCAAUAUAGUACAUCCGUUACAUUUUUCAUUAAUUGAUCCGUUAAGAGCUGACGUGACUGUCAUAUUUGUGCUGACAUAACUGCCAAAUUUGUGUCACGUGGCAAUUUUUUUUUAUUCAUUUAAAAUAUUAUAAUAAUUUACCCUAUUUAUUAAAAUAAAAAAAAUAAUAAAAAAAAAACUUGAGGGGGUAAAAAAAAAAAGAAGAUAUAUUUUGUCCUUAAAGAACAGUGGGCCUCACCCCUACCACUUUACCCAAUAUACACGCUAUCCUCAAUUUGUACUCGUGUUGCGUUAUUUGCAAUGAAUAUCUAAUAUCGUCUUUCUCUCAAAAAAAAUUAUUUGGUAAUAGAUCAAGUAAAAUUUAUAACAUUAACGAUAAUAAGAAAAUCUCACAAUUAAAAUAAAUAAAUAAAUAAAACUUCAAUUUUUUAAACUUAUAUAGAAUAAAAAUACAAUAAUACAUAUUUAAUAUACAAUAUAUACACUAUGGUUGUUGUAUUUUAUAGUAAGUUUUUUAUUUAGUAGUUUAACUUUAAAAUCAUCAAAAUAAUUUUUUUCUUAACAGUUGAAAUUUGUUACCCACAGGUUACCUGAGCGUAAACCCAUUAAGGACCCGUUUUUAAUGGGUGAUUCAAUAAUGACCCGAUUAGUUAUAAUUUUGACUCGAAACUCGUUAUUUUAGUGUCGUUUUCAUAUCGUGUUAACGGAUCGUGUAAGAAACUAUCAGGUUUUAUAAUAACAUGCAUGCAUUUGUGUCAAAAUAUGUAAGAGUUUCCAUCACACACAAUGUUGACUAAGAUAUUAGAAGAAAAAAAAAACUUUGCUAAUCGGCGAGGCCCAUUCGAUCUUCAAAUCCUGGAAAUCUGCGUGGUUUCUUCUACUAUAUCUCUUUAGCUAGUUAUCUGCAGUAUAGUGCACGCCAUACAUAUCUUAAUUUUUCGCUAUAUUACCAGCUAGCUGUUGGCGUAUUUUUCCUGCUAUCAACUUACUUGCACAUUUCUACUUUUCAUUUUCUCCAUAUAUAGUUGCACAAGUCAAACUAGCACAUUUUUGGGUUUUGUGCUUUCACGACUCUCCAUACUUGCUCCUACAUCUUUCUUACUACACAAGUAAGCAUACAAUUGAGUUCAUUAAUUACUGGUUUAAGUGGUUGAACAAAAGAGAAAGUUUGAUUUGGACAUAUAUACUACGUCACCAUGGCCAUCAAUUGUUAACUGGUUCUUUAUCCAUGACAUUGACAAAUUAACAAAUGAGUUUUUUUAUUAGCGUCCUACAUAUUAUUGAAUACACUCCAUGUCCAUAUAAAAAUUAAUUAUUCAUAUUUAUUUAGCUUAAGACGUAUUUAAACUAUAUUAUUAUUGCUGAUUCAUUGUGUGGCUUAGCUCAAUCCCUUAUUCUUAAAUGUAAAUAAUAUCAUUGUACUAAAACCAAAUGACUUAUAUAUCUCAGUAUAAAAUGCCAACAACAUUUAAGUGACGUUGGCGACUUGGCAUAGUUCAUACAUCAAUCCCAAAACCCCUAAUUAACAGAAACUCCCAAAUUGAACACUAGACGCAAACCUAGAUUUGCAGAAAAAAUCUAAGAAUUAUUUAGGCUAAUGAUAUGGAAAUUGAAUAGAAAUGGGAGGAAAAUUUCGUUUCUCUUGUGCUGAGAUGUUUCAUAUUCAUGUUUGUGAUUAUUCAUCCGUAUUCGUUUGAUGUUUGAUUAGUGUUCAUGUAUUUACUUGAUACUCGGAUUGCCUAGUUCUUUAUAACUAGUUUUUAUUAUAGUACAUGACAAUGACUAAUUGACAAAUUCAAGUGUUUUAUUAGUACUAGUGUUUAUGCAUUUACACAAAUUAUUUAACAGUCAUAUGUAAUUAAAAAUGAUAUAUUCUUUUUUUUUUUUUUGGUUGCUUACUUAAUUGUUAGAUGUUAAAUAUGUUAAAUAAAUGCUACUUAGUACUACGGUCUAGUAGUAUUUCUCUUCACUUGUAAGUGAGAGGUCUUAGAUUCGAUUCUCGCCAAAAACGAAUUUAACCACAUUAUUGCUAGCAUAUUGUAAGGCUAAGUCCACUCUUUUCUCUUAGUGUAGACAAUAUCGGUUGUUCGAAAAUGAAUAAAUAUAUAUAUAUAUAUAUAUAUGUAUGUAUGUAAGUGUAUAUAAUGUGUGUACCGUAAUUAGUCUCAUAUCGUUGACUCUCUAUUUCCAACGAAAACAAAAGGUUGAAACGAGAGGUGUAGGUAUGGUGAGGGACCAGAUGUAUGUAUUACAACUUAGCACCAAAUGUGUCCUUUUGGUUGUCUUCAUUUUGUUUAUUUUCCGAGUAUAGUUUGACUUUAACAAAAAAGAUAAGAGUUGUGUUUUUGGGUUUUCCCAUCAUAAGAGUUGUCUUUUUCAAUUGAAAGUUACUUUUCUUAAAACAAUUGGUAUUCGGAGGAGGUUUAAAUUCGAGAACUUUUUCAAUAUUGAAAAAAUAAGUAAUAGGUUGUUUGCUUGUGCCACAAACAAAUUGAACUUUUUAAUCAUAAGAUUGUGUCAUAGAGGAGUUUAAUCUAUAGUUUUAAGUUUUUUCCUAUGCCUUGUCACCAAGGACUUUGUAUUUUUUUGGUGUUUAUGCCAAGAGACAAUCCUAAAAUAAUCGGAUCUUAGUUUGGAACUGCAAAGUAAGUUGAAAGACAAAAAGUAAUGCAAGCAAUGAUAGAAAGGAAAGACGGGGAAGUAAAGGAUGGUUAGAUGUUCAUCAAAUGUUAAUUAACAAGAAAGUAAAUUGCAUAAAAGGCUAAUACUUUGAAAAGAAAUGACAAAUACAAGUGUUCAGGCAACGUUAAAACUUAUUUAGGCAAAAAUUGACUACAAACUUAUUCAGGAAAAAAUUGACUACUAGUAGGCAAAUUCUUGCAAGCAAGGGAAAUUUGUUUAGAAAGGAAGUUAAUACAAAAAAGCGAUUCUACAAGUGAUAUUGCAGAUCUAUAAAGAAAAAGGAAAACUAACAAAAAGAUCUUGAAAACUUUGAGUUUUAAUGAUAAUGACAAAAUAAAGGGUAAAGUGAAUAGUACCAUGAUUGACUUUUUAGAGUAAAAAUGUGGUUUUUCGUUAAAGUGAACAGUACUGGGAGUUUUUCGUUAAAAUUCCCUAAAGAAAAUGAGUGUCUGAACAACAAAAAGAAUUUGUAACAAGUAGGUUUGCAGAGCUUUGAAGUCUUUUUGUGUUGAGUGUCUUUUUGUGCUGAGCUUUGAUCUCUUCCACCAAGAUCAUCGGAUCAAGUGAUUCGAACCCUUGAAAUUUGAUCCAAUGGCUAAAAAUAGGGGUCCCCUUUAAAAGUUAUAAUAAUUUUAGCUAUUAGACCAAAUUUCAAGAGUCCGGAUCACUUGAUUCGAUGACCUUAGUGAAAAAGAUUCCUUUAUACUUCCCUCUUAGUUCAUUCCUUAUGAUCCAAUAAGUUGCUGAUUUGACUACUGCCAAAGGAUGAGUUUUCAUCUCGUAGCUCGAGUUUUUGUCCCUUUGAAACUACAAUUUUUCCACCAUAUAGCAACUGUCCUCUGUGAAAAUAAAAAAAAAAUCAACUGAAUUACCUUCUUUCGAUGUGAAAAAGGGUAUAUUUACCGUCCACUUCGCUACAUCAUAAAGUACCUUUGAAAACUUGGACCGCACUAAGUCAUUAGUUACAGGUCAGUGGGUUGGGCUAGAACGUGCCUAACAAAUGUUUUCAGUCCAAACAACUCGACCUUAAAGGUGCCUAACAAUUUGUGUGACUUUUUCAGUAAAUUAAAAUCAAUAUUUGAUACUCUUUGUUUGUUAUCUUUUUAAUCUCUUUCCUUAUUUUGGUUAUACUUGUAUUAAAAAAAUGAUUAUGCUUGACAUUAGUAUACUAUCUUAUGAUUUUAGAAUGAUAACCGAAUUUGAUCGUAAAUAUCAAAUUUAUAAUAAUAUUCAUAAAAAUGAUUAUUAUUGAUGCGUAAGAUUUAAGAAAACAAACUCAAUUAAUUAAUUUAUUUUAUUACAAUCAAAAUAAACUUACUUUCUACACAAUAACUUCUUAAUAACAAACAUUUAAGGAAAUAGUUAACUUUCUAUCUAUAUAUAUCCAAAGGAAGGUGAUCACAUUAAGAAAACAGUUAAGUUUCUAUCAAUAUAUACAGAAAGGAAGUUCACCUAUACAUUCGCCCAUUGAAAGCAUAGUUACGUUUCUAUAUACAGCUCUCUCUCUCUCUCUCUCUCUCUCUCUCUCUCUCUCUCUCUCUCUCUCUCUCUCUCUCUCUCUCUCCAUUGAAAGCAGAGUUACGUUUCUAUAUGCAGCUCUCUCUCUCUCUCAAAAAGUGAUGAUAUAAAUAGGGUAGUGCUAUCCACACUCAUUUUUGCUUAACACACACCCUUCUUAAUUUUCGACCAUCAGAUCAAAUAAAUUGAAGAAGAUCAUUGACUAAAAAUUAACAAGGUAUGUAGGAGGUAAAAAUGAGUAUGCGAAUUACACUUCCUAUAAAGAUACAUUGUGACUUAUAAAUUGCUUGCAUGCGACAGGUACUUGAUAAGAAGAACGAAAUAAAGAAUAUUGAAAAAUGUGGAAGCUUAAGGUCGCAGAUGGUGGCAAUGAUCCAUACAUCUACAGCACAAACAACUUCGUGGGUAGGCAGAUAUUUGAGUUUGACCCUGAAGCAGGAACUACCGAACAGCGAGCUGAGGUGGAAGAAGCUCGUCUUCAUUUCUACAAUAAUCGCUAUCAGGUUAAGCCCAAUAGUGACCUCCUAUGGCGAAUGCAGGUAUACUUUAAUUAGUUCGUCCAAACUUAUAAUGUUGUCAAUUAGUUUACUUUGGAGUAUUUUUCAAAUAUAGCCAAAAAUUAACUCUUAAUUUCAAAAAUGUCACUUUUUAUAAAAACUUUCAAAUAUAUCCAAAAUUUAACUUAUAUAGACACAAAUACCCUCAAAUUUAACAAUUAAAUAAAUUAAAGGCUUUUUAGCUACUGUCGUCUCAAGCUCCGGUCUAACUUUUGCUUCUACACUCCACCACCACAACCCUAUUCCCUUCGACCCCCUCAUCACUGACAUUGAGCGCCGUCGCGGUUACUGCAAGUAGGAGCAGCAGAAUUUCAAUCAUGCCUUCAACGCCUUUUUUCUUAUUAAUAUCAUUUUUAAUUUUAAAUAUAAAAAUAAUUUUUGAAGUUAAUCCACAUGUCGUUAUAUGAUUGUAUUUGUGAGACCCACGUGAUGCCACAUCAUCACACUAAAAGAGCAAUUGAUAGAUUUUUCACAAUAGAAAAAUUCAAAAACACUACUAUUGAUUAUCAUUAAUUGUUAAGGAUCAAAUUAAGGAGUUAUGUCAAUGUCACGCAUCAUUUUGACUAAAAAGCCUUUAAUUUAUUGAUUGUUAAAUUUGAGGGUAUUUGUGUCUAUUUAGGUGGAAUUUUGGAUAUAUUUGAACGAUUUUAUAAAAAGUGACAUUUUUUAAAUUAAAGGUUAAUUUUUGGUUAUAUUUGAUAAAUAAUCGCAAAUAUAAGCCACAAUUUGACAAGAAUAACAUUUCCCACCAAUAUGAACCUAUGAUACUUAUUUGAUCAUGUUUCUACUAAAUGUUAGACCUGGCAUUCAUGUCAUGUUUUUCGUGUUCGUGUCAUUUUCGUGUCAUAUCCGAUAUCUUAACGAGCCAUCUCGUGUAACACCUGUUAAAAUAAACGGGUAAAAUGACCCGACCCGAAAUCGACCCGAUAAUAUUAACAGGUAAUAUGACCCGACCCGUUACCCGUUAAGGAUAUAUUUUAAACCAAAAAAUAAUCAAAUGAAAAACAUAAUAGUAAAUAAGUAUAUACAUAUCAUAUUGUCACAUCCAAAACAUAAAAACACAUUUUUCUUUUAAGUAUAUUUUCACUUACCUAAAGUCUUUAAUAGUUUUUUAAUUAAUGUAGGAGUGUAAAAAAAUAAAGAAAAAAUAUAUAAAUGCUCGUAAUGACAAGCUUUACAACUUUCAUAAAGAGCUUAACUUCGAAAUUCGCCACUAUAAUCAUAUAAAUCAUAGAUCAAAAUUUAACCGUUGAUUGUUGUUUACAUUUACGCUUCAUUGUUCUCAUCAAAUUUUGUUUUUUUUCAGAUUUUCUUUUUUGAAAACUUGAUCUAUUAAAGGAUGCAGGAAGAACGUUUGGAUCGUUGAUAUUAUAUUUAGAGUUUUACAAUUAGUGAAAAUAUUGCUUGAUGUUUAUAAAGUUUCUACAAACUAUAUGACAUCAACUCAUAUUUCAAUUAAUCGUAAAUAUCAAAACAUGAUAUCAAAGAUCUAAACCGUUCAUCUUCUUACAUCCGCCAGAUGAUCAUGUUUUCAAAAAAGAAAAUUUUAAAAAUGAAAUUCAAUAAGAAGAAUAAAGCAUAAAUGGCAAUCGACGGUUAAAUAUAAAUUUAAGAUUUAUGAAUUACAGUGUUGGAUUUCGAAGCUGACCCAUUCAUGAAAGUUGUAACGUUUGUCACUAUGAGUGAUUGUAUUUUUUUUUUUUUUACAUUUUUUACACUUCUACAAUAAUUAUUAUUAAUUUUAUUAAUUUUGCCCUCAAAUAAAAAACAUUAUUGAUGAAGAAUUGGAGGAUUUUAAAAAUCUAAACGAUAAUGUAAGUGUAACCACUUGUGGAGGAAUAAUGAUGAAUCACGAGUGUUUAUAUAUGCUUUCAUAUUUUUCAUACUUGUAUGUAUGUCUUCUUAGUUCUUGCAUAUACAAAAACUAUAUUAGUUUAUUUUAAUUUCUGACAACAACAUGUUAAGUAAAAUUUAUCCUAGUAAUGAUAAUAAGGAACUCUCAUAAUAAAAAUAAAUAAUGACUAAAACUUUUUUUAAAAAACUUAUUUAAUAUAGAAUAUAUUGUAUAUAUUAAUAUGGCUAUUGUAUUUUAUAAUAAAUCUUUUAGUAAUUAAACUUUAAAAUUAUCAAAAUAAUUUUUUUUCUUAACGGGGUCAAAACGGGUUACCCACGUGUUACCCGCUUGUAUACCCGUUAAGAACCCAUUAUUAACGGGUUCUGAACGGCUCACCCGAUAAUGACCCGAUAAGUUAUCGUGUUGACCCGAAACCCAUUAUUUUCGUGUCGUUUUCGUGUCAUGUCAGAAACUGUCGGGUCUACUAAAUGUGAGUUCUAGUUAUCCUGGUUCCACCCAUGUAGUUUUUAAUUAGAAACAACACAUGUGUCCACGCUAUAGGUGUACCUACUUAUCCACCACUUAUCAUUAACAUACCGUAUAAACUGUAAAAUCAGACACGUUAUUUUACUUUUUCACGUCAUCUAAAUAUUAUGUUUGCAAAAAAAAAAAAAUAAUCAAUUUAAAUGUAGAGAUUGUUUAGUCAACCAUAUGUAGGAGAGCACAAUAAGAUGAAAGUUCUAAGUUGUGUUCAUCGAACAUGAUCAAUGGUUUUGGUAACAAGUAACAUUCUCAUGAUGAAUAUACCCAUUCUUGGUACUAGGGUUUAAUGAUAUUCCUCUUCACUUACAUAUGUUUGAAUCUUGUAAUGUCGAGUUUGAUACCAAUUUACUCCCCACCCCUUAAUAUAAAUAUACUCGUUCUUGGUUGGGGGCUUUUGGGCUUCUCCCAAUCUUAUUCGUAGUUGGGGAAAAGAAAUGAGCCUUGUUCGGCAGGUGCAUAGCAAGUUGUAAAAAGAACAAACCACCAAACAAACAAACAAACAUCUACUUUUUGUCUGUCUUGUUUCUGGUACUUACAAGUUUUCAUUUCCUAUCUGAUGGGCAACACCAUAAAAAUUUUAGGGUUUAAUAACAUUUAUUUAGUAAUAAUAACAUCAUCAUAACUUUAAUCCUCUCAUUUGUAUCGCUCUUAAUUUUAUGUUCACUAACCGACAGUUACUAAGGGAGAAGAACUUCAAACAGACAAUUCCCCCGGUGAAAGUUGAUGAUGGAGAGGAAAUCACAUACGAAAAGGCCACCGUUACAUUGAGAAGGUCUAUCCACUUCUUUUCAGCUUUGCAGGCUAGUGAUGGCCAUUGGCCGGCUGAAAAUGCCGGCGUGUUGUUUUUCCUUCCUCCUUUGGUGAGCCUUUACUAUUUACUAUCAUGUUAUUUGAAUCUCAUGUUCCCGUUUUGGGGCUUAAAAAUAUAUAGCACAUAUAUUCUCAAGUUUUUACCAAAGUUCAAAUUUUAGGGGGUUACUAAUUACUUUACAAUUUCCUACUCAAAAUUUUCAGGUCAUGUGCACUUACAUUACGGGACAUCUUAACACUGUAUUCUCUACAGAACACUGCAAAGAAAUUUUGCGUUACAUAAACUAUCAUCAGGUACAUAAAUAUAUAUAUAUAUAUAUAUAUAUAUAUACGUACGUACAUAUAUACGUAUGUAUGUAUGUGUACAUAUAUAUAUAUAUGAGUGUGUGUGUGUGUGUAUAUAUAUAUUAUAUAUAAUAUAUAUAUAUAUGUAUGUAUAUAUAUAUAUAUAUGUGUGUGUGUGUAUAUAUAUUAUAUAUAUUAUAUAUAUAUGUAUGUAUAUAUAUACACAUAUAUAUAUAUACAUAUAUAUGUGUGUAUAUAUAUAUUAUAUAUAUUGGCCUUUGUUCACACAAAUUGCAUCAAAUUUUAAUUUUUCAGAAUGUGCUUAUUUGUGUUAAACUACUAACAAGGGUUGCAGUGAAGUUGCCCAAGAGUUUUCACUUCUACAUCCGAAGUCCCGCUCGAAUAAAAAAAAAACACUGAAUAAAUAAAGCUAAUUAAUACGCAUUACUUUUUCGGGUAUUUCAGAACCAAGAUGGUGGUUGGGGAUUACACAUUGAAGGACACAGCACCAUGUUCUGCACAGCUCUCAACUACAUUUGCAUGCGUAUUCUUGGAGAAGGCCCUGAUGGUGGCCAAGACAAUGCUUGUGCAAGAGCUAGAAAGUGGAUUCUUGAUCAUGGCAGUGUUACCCACAUCCCCUCUUGGGGUAAAACUUGGCUUUCGGUAUGCCUAUGUGCAACACUAAGACUAAUUGCUUUUAUUAGGAUUCAGUUAACUGUUCUUAAAUAGCACUAUCACUAUAGCAAAUCGUCAACUACAUAUUGAUACUUUAUCUAUACCCUAUAUAGCUGAAUUACAUGAGAUUAUUUGCUAUCGAUAACGGGGCAAUAUUGACAACGUAUAAAGAUGUAUCACUUUUAAUUCUUAAUAAUGUUAGUUAGACGCACAAAACUAACAUUAUUUUUUAUACACUCCAUAAUAGUGGUGGGCCCCGAUUAACAAUAUAUUAACUCAAAUAUGACUUUACAUGUAGCACACCAAAAAUCAUAAUUAACCCUGAAUAUUUCGGUAAAUUGCAGAAUGGAGUCAUAUUUGGCAUUGUGUGUCUAAAUUGCGUUUACUUUAUCAAUGUAAUUAUACUUUCUUUUUAUCGAAAAUAAAACAUGACUAGUUGCUUCAAUUUAGUACUAGUGCUGUUUGAGAACACUGCACUGCAACUAUGUAAGAGCAUUUCCCUUUCUAAUUAAUCUUGCUUAAUUGAUUCUUGUAGAUACUUGGUGUGUUUGAGUGGUCCGGAAGCAACCCAAUGCCCCCAGAGUUUUGGAUUCUGCCUUCAUUUCUUCCUAUGCAUCCAGGUUGGCACCAUUCUAAACACCACAAGUACAAAUAAUUCAAACUUUCACAUGUUGAUUGAUUUAAUUAUUCUCUCUACCUAUAGUCUUCUUUUUUAAUCUGUUCUACAUCAUGCAAAUGCAGCAAAAAUGUGGUGCUACUGUAGGAUGGUUUACAUGCCUAUGUCAUAUUUAUAUGGGAAAAGAUUUGUUGGUCCAAUAACAUCUCUCACACUACAAUUAAGGGAAGAACUCUAUGCUCAACCUUAUGACGAAAUUAAUUGGAAGGGAGUGCGUCAUCACUGCGCUAAGGUGAGUUUAACUUGAUUAAGUUAGCUGAUUAGUUCAUGUUUUCUUGUUAAUAAUUUGAUUGCAGGUGGACAUCUACUACCCUCAUCCUUGGAUACAGGACUUUCUAUGGGAUUGUCUGUACGUAUGUACGGAGCCUCUUCUUACUCGCUGGCCGUUUAACAAGCUGAUCAGGAAAAGGGCUCUUGAAGUAACAAUGGAGCAUGUUCAUUAUGAAGAUGAAAACAGCAGAUACAUUACCAUUGGAUGUGUGGAAAAGGUGUUAUGCAUGUUGGCUUGUUGGGUGGAAGAUCCAAAUGGGGAUUAUUUUAAAAAGCAUCUUGCCAGGAUACCGGAUUAUUUAUGGGUUGCUGAGGAUGGGAUGAAGAUGCAUGUAUAACACAUUUUGUUAAUACAUUACAUGAUACGAUGAAUUGUUCUUGAUCCUUUUUUUCUGUUUCAAAAGCUUACUCUUCUAAAUCAUUGGAAAACAUUAUAAAUUGAUACAUUUUAUUGAUACAUGCAGGGUUUUGGCAGUCAACUGUGGGAUACUGGUCUUGCCAUUCAAGCUUUGCUUGCUUCCAAUCUAACCGAUGAAAUUGCACCCACUCUUGCUAGAGGACAUGACUUCGUCAAGAAAUCUCAGGUUCGUUUUUAUAUAGUCAAUUCAACUUUCAUAUUUGUAAAAUGUAAAUGUGCAUCCAUUAUUUUGUUCUAAAUAGUGACUGUUUUGGAUUGAUUGUUAAGGUCAAGGACAAUCCGUCGGGUGACUUCAAAAGCAUGUACCGCCACAUUUCCAAAGGAUCGUGGACUUUCUCUGAUCAAGAUCAUGGAUGGCAAGUUUCUGAUUGCACGGCAGAGGGUUUAAAGGUAACAAAUUCAACUUAGUUGUCUAAAAUGUUAUCUCAAUUUUUCUCACCAUAACCCCCUCUACAGUGUUGCCUGCUUUUAUCGAUGAUGCCACCAGAGAUAGUUGGUGAAAAAAUGGAGCCUGAGCGGUUAUACGAUGCUGUCAAUGUCCUAAUUUCCCUACAGGUGACAACUAUUAUUUCUGACAGUCAUAGAUAUGAGUUUGAUUUGCAUUUUGUUGCCACAAUCAGAUUUGGAUCUAAUGCAUGGCUGCCUUACUUUAAAAGUUUUGAAAACUUUUAACAUUUCAAUACAUUUUUUCUUCAGUGCAUGGUCUAUUAGGUUUCUCUAGUCAUUACAAAUCUCACUAUAUGUCUCAUUGUAGAGUAAGAAUGGUGGCUUAGCAGCCUGGGAACCAGCAGGAGCAGCAGAAUGGUUAGAAGUAAGAAUUUUAAAAAAUUGGAGUCAUGUUGUCGAACUUAGUCAGAUGCGUAAGAAACUAAAACUUUUUAAAUCAUUAUUUAGUAUACUUACUAGGAUAUUGUCCAUUUUUUCCCUUCAGAUGUUAAAUCCCACAGAAUUCCUCGCGGACAUUGUGGUUGAGCAUGAAUAUGCUGAGUGCACUUCAUCUGCAAUCCAGGCUUUAGUUUUAUUUAAGAAGUUAUACCCUGGCCACAGGAAGGAAGAGAUUGAUCAAUUUAUUACCGCCGCUGCACUGUACCUUGAAAACGUACAAAUGGCAGAUGGUUCAUGGUAUAUCAUAUGAUUAAAUCAAAAUUUGAUUAUAUAAUUUUCUUUGAUUAGAAACUGGAGAAGAAAAAGAACUUAGUGAAGAAACGUUUGCAUAGGUACGGGAGUUGGGGAGUUUGCUUCAUAUAUGGUACCUGGUUUGCUCUUGGGGGGCUAACUGCUGCUGGUAAGACCUUCAACAAUUGUGCAGCCAUGCGCAAAGCUAUUAGUUUUCUACUCGCAAUCCAGAAAGAGAAUGGUGGUUGGGGAGAGAGCUACCUUUCAUGUCCAAAAAAGGUAAAAUAUGAGAGGUGGAUUAUGAUUGAAGCUAGCUGCAAGUAUUUCUUAAUUAAUCUCAUUGUCUUGGACUAAGUAUUUCACUCUAUGGCGCGUGAUACAGGAGUACGUUCCUCUUGAAGGAAACCGAUCAAAUUUAGUGCACACAGCUUGGGCUAUGAUGGGUUUGAUUCAUGCAGGGCAGGCGGAAAGAGACCCCACACCUCUUCAUCGUGCAGCAAAGUUGAUAAUCAAUUCUCAGAUGGAAAAUGGUGAUUUUCCUCAACAGGUAUCUUGCUUACCACAUUAGUUCCAACCAAAAUUUUUAAAAAAAGUUGCCUUAGUAUUACUUGCAUUGCAAGCUUGACGAGUACGAAUAUGAAGC
rnacentral:lncRNA from 1 species